UUGUUGCCGCUUUCAUACUCAGUUCCGUUUCAAAUUUCAUCGAUCGUUUCAACACAAUGGCAUAUCAGCAAGAUCCAUGCGCCAACCCAACGCAUCAGACUGGCAAGACCGGAGGCCAGACCGACCAGUAUGGAAACCCAGUCCAUCAAACCGAGGCCAUGGGCGCGUAUGGUGCGGGAACUGGCACUGGUAUGCAUGGUGGGGAGCAUCAGCAGCAGCCCCACCAACAACCCGGCGUGCUUCAUCGCUCCGGCAGCUCUGUAAGUUGCCAUGCCAAAUGCCAAAUCGUUAUUAAUUAGCUUUGAUAUCUUGGUUUUGUUAUUUUGACUGGAUUUGAUACGCAGUCAUCCGAGGACGAUGGGCAAGGUGGGAGAAGGAAGAAAGGGAUGAAGGAGAAGAUAAAAGAGAGGAUACCGGGCAUGGGACGCAAGGACGAGCAGAAGCAUACGAGCGCCACAAGUACGCCGGGGCAGGGGCAGCAACAGAAAGGAAUGAUGGAGAAGAUCAAGGAGAAGCUGCCUGGGGGCCACUAGGUGUGUCUGGAAAUGAAGGGGACGUGGUCUAAUCGUUUGUAACUGAAACGAGAGUCUAGGUCCAUAGGUCAUAGGUGAAUGGGUGAUGCAUAAGCGUUUGGUUAUGAACCAGACGAGUCUAAAUUGAGUUAAUAAAUUGCUGGACUGCUGCUAUAUGCAGCCCGGCAUCUGCUUUCUGCUUUCUCAAUGUAGUCCCUGUAUGCCUGUCCUCUUCGUAUAUUAGUAGCUGAGUGCUUAUUAAUGCUACACUUAUGUUGUCAUUUUUCAUAAACUAGAUUUUGUUUUGGUGUUACCACCCCCAAUCUGACUUCAUGCUUAAGCGCAAGUUUAUCGUGCUUUAAUUUGAUCAAAUCUUGAUAUAUUCAGGUAACCCUGUACAUGCUGCAAUUCAGGUCUUGCAGAAACCACAUGUUCACAACGAAUAAUAAAUGUAAAUAAAUGGCUACAGCAAGUAAGAGCAUGUAUUAGAAGAGUAAAAAAAAAAAAUGGUGAAAACAGUACCCACGAAAUAUAUACUACAACGUUUAAAAAAAUUAGGGCGUCAUGGAGAUAAAAACUAGGCAUCACAAAGACAAACAAUCCGACAAAGUAUGAUUUCUAUAUAUAUGUUCAAUUCAUAAAAUUAUAUAAAAAUGAAUAUUUGAUAGAAGGAAUAUUAAUUAUAUAAAAAAGAAUAUUUGAUGGUUUACCAUUGAAUGCUUUCUCAUUUUUUUCCCCUAAAGGGGCAGUUCUUCACACCUUCCCCUUCUUUUACCCACAAAAGCAUCAUCCCAUCUAAGCAAGUUUUCCCUUAUAGUGAAAUGCAAAACCUAUUGCUAAUAUACUAGUCUUGUUGCAAAACAGAAAAUGAUGGUCAUUAAUUUAUUCUUCUUUACCAUAACAUACUAGUCUUGUUACAAAAUAGAAAAAGAUGGUCAUUAAUUUAUUCUUUUUUACACUAGAAACAUCUAUUUGACAUGUUUCAUCCCCUUCUUUUCGAUUCGUCAGUAAUUAAAACUCUAUUCCAAGACACUUGCCAAACAAAAAAAACCUACUCUCAUCGGAAUCCAAGACCUCCAAAUAAUGCACCAAGUGUAAGGAUCACUAGACUUGUGUAGGAACAGUGAGUCACUUUCUCUCUAGCUCAAAGUAUCCUUCACAUCUCUUCUAACAGCCAAAGAAUGAAGUUUCCAAUAAAAAGACUCCACCUCUCCCAUCUCCCAAUCAUUAAGGUGUCUUGAAAAGCGAGGACUCCAACAACCCAACUCCCCACUCUCCUCCUAAGCAUUUGACACCCACCCAUCUUUGUAUGUAGCUAAGAGAAAUAAAGUAGGAAAAACAUCUUUCAAUGUUUGAUUCUCACACCACAAGUCCUUCUAAAACCGAACCCUUUUUUCUCAUUAUCUACUACAUACGAAACGGGAUCUAUCUCGAAUGCCCUCUCAUUCUCUUCUAAUGGCUUUCCACACCCCUACACCAAAACCUCCUCUCCCUCCAAACCAAACUUGUCGAUGAUGACUUGUUUCCAAAGGGGCUCUCUUUCUUUUGCAAAUCUCCAACUCCACUUCCUAAGCAAAGCCUUGUUAAGGGCCAUAAGGUUGCGAAUUCCUAGACCACCCUCCUUCUUAUUAGCACAACAAACUUUUCAAUGCACCAAAUGAGGCCUUUUUUCCAAGGCUCCACCGCCUCAAAGAAGGGUCUCUUUGUAUUUUCUCAAGUCUUGCACUCACCUUCCGAGGAAGGACAAAGAUGGACAUAAAAUAAAUCAGAAGACUAGAAAGGGUACUUUUGAUCAAGGCAAACCUCCCGCCCUUAGAGAGAUAUUGUCACUUCCACAUAAAUAAUUUUUUCUAAAUCUCUCUUCCACUACAUCCUACACUCUUAGGGAUUUGAAAGAGGCUCCCAAAGGAAGACCUAUAUAAGAAGUGGAAAGCUUCCCUACACCACACCCCAACCCCACAGCUAGCUCCUCCAUAUUCUCUACCCCCCAAUGGGAAUAACCUCGUUUUUAUCUAAAUUCACUUUUAAACCAAAAAGCGCCUCAAACCAUAUAAACACCCAACUUAAAUAUCUCAACCGGUCACUAUUGACCUCACAAAAAAUUAAGGUGUCGUCAACAAACAAUAGGUGGGAUACAUCCCACCUCUCUCCAUAUCAACAAUUAGGCAAUAUCAACAAUUCCGAGAGUUAGAUCUUGUGAAUAAAAAACGAGGUUUUUGGUUCUAGGGGUACUAAUGAAAUCCAAUAAGUAGAAUCAUUCUAAAAAUUACAAUGAUGUGUUAAAUUCUUGGGGUACUAAUGAACCCAAUAAAUAAAUUUCCUAGUUGCAAUUGAAUCAUUCUCAAAAUUAUAGUUAUCGCAAAAUCCUGACUGUAAUAAUACAGAGGAGAUGCUAGCUAUAUUAGGCGUUUAUAAAAUUGGGGAUUAAUUCAAAUAAAUCCAAUACGGAUGGAAAAGAAAACUGGGACUGCUACAGUACGAUUUCCUGAUGAUUGCUUAAAGAUGACAUCUGGAGUUCAUCAUUGUGUAAAUGAUAUUGUAGGUCGCCGGAUUAAAUCCAUCCUUGUCAAUUCUAUUCUCUUCUUCCUUCAGAGCCCAGUUUGGAGCAAGUACUUGUGCAGAAGAGUGUACAAAGGUGGCAACUUGGGUGGAUAAUUAGGAUUCAAAUUCAAUAGGCUCUGUACUGGUGUAAGAUUAACCAAACUUCAAAUGAGAAAAGAAAAGAAAAAAUCCAAUUGGUCAAUGUUGCAGUUCCAAUCCAUGCUUCCAUCACCAGAAGUUACCACAGGAGCAUCUCCCAUCGCGAAAAUGGUGGAAUCUCAUGUUAUCCCUGACAACAAUUUCUCUCCCUGUGAUCUGAGAAGCACCACACAUUACUGAAUGGCAAUCUUCGCAUAUCCUGAGGUUCUUCACAAUUCUAAUGGUGCACCCAGCAUUUGUAGUGAGCAGGCCAAACGCCAGAGCAAGCUUCUCACUAUGACUCAUUAGCAACCGCUUCUUCUCUUCAUCACUAAUGUCAUAGGCCACAGAACUCAGGUUUGGCUGGUAGCCAAGAUACUUUAAUCUGUCGAGAAGAUCCUCCAGUGCCUGCUUAAUCUCCCUGGACUUCGGAUGGGACAUAUCACCUGCAAAGAACUCGUGAAUUAUCCCUUUCUUUCCUUCAACCCAGCUGCAUCCAGGAUUCUUUUUCAGACCCUUCGCCCUCAUUAACUUCCUUACCUUUGAAACAUCAUCCCACCUGCCUGCUGAAGCAUAUAUAUUGGAAAGCAAGAUGUAGUUCCCAAUACCAUUGGGUUCAAGCUCAAACAAAUGGCUUGCAGCAAUCUGGGCCAUAUCAGGAUUCCCGUGGAUGCGACAUGCCCCAAGCAGUGCUCCCCACACGCCCCCAUGGGGAUUCAUGGGCAUCAUUUUUACAAGGUUGAGAGCUUCUUCCAAGCGUCCAGCUCGACCAAGAAGAUCCACCAUGCAGGCAUAGUGAUCCUCUGAUGGUGCAACACCAUGACAUUCUUCCAUCAUUGCGAAUAAUUGCUGACCUUGUUCUACCAUACCUGCAUGGCUGCAAGCAGUAAGAACACCUAUAAACGUGACCCUGUUUGGUUUUAUCUCUGUCUUCAACAUCUCAUCAAAUAAUUCCAUUGCAGCACCAGCCAAACCAUGCAUUGCAAACCCCACAAUCAUUGAACUAUAAGAAUACACAUUCCUUUCCUCCAUUCUUUCAAAAACCUUGUAAGCAUCUUCUACGCUCCCACACUUCGCAUACAUAUCAAUCAAUGCAGAUCCCACAACAACAUUACUGGUAGGCCCAAAUCCAGAUUGCUCUGCAACGUCCCGGACCCAAUUAGCAUACUUAGCUGCACCUAGUUGAGCACAUGCUGAAAUGACACCAACCAAGGUAACCUCAUCCGUUUUAACGCCUGCAGCCUGCAUUCUUUCAAAAACUUCCAAUGCCUCUCUUGGCCUAGCAUUUUGGGCAUACCCUGUGACCAUUGCUGUCCAUGCCACCAUAUCCUUCAUGGGUAAUCCAUCAAACAACUCACUUGCAGCCUCCAUGUUUCCAACCUUCGCAUAUGCAACAAUCAAAGAAGUCCAAGAAAUCACAUCUCUGUCCAGCAUUUCAUCGAAUACCCGAUGUCCACAACCCAAACACCCGCAUUUCACAUACAUAUCAAUCAAAGUAUUCCCAACAUAUAAAUCAGAACCAAACCCGCCAAUCAAAAUCGUCUGGGUAUGUACCUGCCUCCCCAAAUUGACAUCAAGAGCAGCGCUACAAGCCUUGAGCAGUGCAGUAAAAGUAAACGAAACAGGGCCAAUGCCUUGCCUUCUCAUACUAUUAUACAGAAGAACCGAUUCCAUAAAGGGCCCUUGAAGAGCGUAACCGCGAAUAAGCGCGGUCCAAAGAAAUGGGUUGGGGUAUUCAACUUGUUGGAAGACAAGGCGCGGAUAGGGGUCCAUUGGGACAUCGAGUUUGGUGAGCGUACGGAGGAGCUUGGCGAGAACAAAGCAGCACUGUUCCAGACCCUUUCGGAAGAUGUGGGCGUGCACUUGUUUGACUUGGUUGAUGUGGGUGCAGCCAUGAAGGACUGACACAAGCCGCGAUUCUAAAAUCUUUUGUUCUUGGCGUACAGAGAAGGGAAUGAAAGAUUGAGUUUGCAGCUGACAAUAGGAGGUUUUCGGGAGAAUGAAGAGACAUGUCUUUGUACAGAAUUUGACCAUUACACGCGAUUUCACGGUUCAUUGGGGUGCUUCCUGUGAGACAUGAGAGACCACUCGAAGGAAGAAGGCGGCACAUUAGAUUAAAAGGGAUUUUUAAUCACGUUUUUAGAAGUAUGUGAUUUUUUUUUUUUAAGAAGACAGGAUCCUUUUAAUCAAAUAAAACCCUUUUUCAUCUUUUUCACCUCAGAUCCAACGACGUCGUUUUGCCUUGGGCAAACGUACUAGUCCUACGUUUUGUUCUUAGGUAGUUUUGGGGUUGGAGAAAAGGUGAAAGGCAAAAUCAAUCGGCAGCAACAGCAUCAUGUUUGCAACAGCGAUCAGGUAUUUGGCAAAGAAACCGAAGCCAAAGCAGAAACCUAUAGAGCUAAAAACUCCACCUGAGCAAACUAAAACCCUCACUAGGGUUAUAUUUGAUAUAGUAAAGGAGCACGGUCCUCUCACCAUCGCCGACACCUGGGAACAUGUCCAGGUAAUUCUUCUCUCUCAAUCCUCCAUUCUUUAUUCUUUCCAAACCUAAAACACAGAUGCCCUUAUUUUCCAGUAUUUUACUUGUAGCUUUUAAGGUGAAGAAGGAUUCCAAUUUGUCACAUCUUGGUUCCUCAGUGCAGAAUCAAAGACCAUAACCUUUUAUAAGUGUAGUUGUUGAGUAGAUCCUCAUAUUUUGAUUGCACAUUUACAAACAUUAUGAGUAUUUGGAUGAUUAAUUCAUCUGCAACCUCUGCAGCAAGUUGGGUUGAGAGGACUGACCAGCAAAAGGCACAUGAAGAUAGUGCUGAGAUGGAUGAGGGAGAGGCAGAAGCUCAGGUUAAUAUGCAACCAUGUAGGGCCCCAUAAGCAAUUUCUGUACACCACCUGGUUCGCCAAAUCCAACGUCAAUCAGCCGAAACCUGCAAAUGGUUCUUCACUGCCUAAGUUGCCUUGAACUCUUAUCGACUACCAGCUUAGAACCUUGCUCCUAUGUCUUGAUCAAUACCUUUUCUAUUGUAAUCGUUCCUUUAAAGCUAUAGAAAAAAUAUAUAUAUGAAAUGACUUUUCUUUAUCUGUUGGUAUUUCUGUUUUAUUUUCGUGGAAUUGAAGCACUCGUGGAGAUAUAAAUGAGUGUUUGAUACUCACUACGUUGAUUUCCCAAAGAAAAUAGUACCAUCUUUGACGAAUUGGAGGAUAUUCACCAUUGCCCACCUUGCGCGUUUUUUCCAGAUAUAUUAGGGGCAAACACGCCAUAGACAAGGCAGAGAGGCAGAGAUGCAGAGACCACUCUCAUCUUCUAACAGCCAAACAACCAAUUCCUGGAGGGAAGAAAAAGAAAAAAAAAAGUGGUUGAAUUAUGACAAUCUCUCAUAUGAGAGCAUUAUUUCAUUUGGUUGAAUAAAGGCCUGUGAUAUUGAUUUAAGUCUAAUUUUCUCGGAAUCACGUCCUAUAUCAGAUACCUAAGCUGAAGCUUGAAACUAUACCAUAGAGACCCGGGUGAAGGGUGCAAUUCCCAAAAAUAACAUGAGAAUCUUUCAUGAUGUGAAACUGAGUAGCCCUUUGAGAGCAAUGCAGGCGAAUCCUUCUGCAAGGAGAGAGUUUCAACGGAUGAUGUUACUCGCCCAAAUAACCAAAUUCAUUACUAAGGUUGUUGUCAAGGGAUUGAGAGGAGAGAAGCCUCUAGGGAAAACCUUACAGUUCCAUGCCAACUCCAUUAUAUGCUUCUCUUCGAUUCUUCCUGCAUAAAUCUGAAGCUGCAGCACUCGAGCAUUUUUCACCACUUGAAAAGUUUUCUGCUUUUGUUGGUUCACUUUGUUUGCAUUGCUCUUUGAUAAAAUCAAAUUCUAAACAGUGUCUCUAUGCAUUACUUGUUUUGUUCGGACAAUUCGAAAACCCUCUUAGUUAACAAACAUUAGAAAGCACAUGAUACAGAGUAACAUAUUUCAAGAGAAUUUAAACUGCUGUCUAUUCAAAACAAAAAUAAAAAUCUAACAGGCAAACCUAAUAGUAAGUACAGCUUUUCUCAAAGGGUAAGGUUUGAAUAUGUAGUCAGCAGCAUGAGAUUAAAACAAAAAACAAAAAACAAAACAAAAAAGGCAAAAACAAAAUGAAAAGAAAAAAAACCCCACUGGUGCAGACAAUGUGAAGAAUAUGUGCAGAUGAUCUUUUGCUAUGAGCAUCUCCUUGUAGGUGAUUGUGAUCUUAUAAGCUAGCCACCAGCAUUACAUUCUCCUACAUAGAUAAUUUCUGGUUCUCUUGGAUAUGACUCUUGCCAGACGGAAGAAUGAGAAGAAAAAAACUUUGGGAGAUGCUAUUAAAAGGAAAUUUUUUAUUAUGGAAAUUCUAACCUCCCAAGCAAGUUUACAGCAUUAAGAAGCACACUAUGUAUAAGCUGAACUGGAAGAUUUUCUAUAUGGAGGCAAAGGCUUUAACUCUACAGUUUUGGGUGACUCUUUGCUUUCUGCAACACCUCCUUUAAAACUGUGGCAAUCCUAUGUGCCAUGUGGUGUUCCAAAAACGUUUCUUUUACCUUCUCAUAUCCUGUCUUUCCCAGGGUAAGCCUUCUAUGAACAUUAGUGGCUAGUGUGACAAUGUUUUUUGCAAGAGGAGUGACCCCUUCUUUCCCUGUUGGGUGUAACAAACCUGUUGACCCAUUCACUACAAUCUCGGUGGUGCCUCCUGCUGCUGUUCCCUGAAUACAUGUUUUGACAAACACUAAAAUUUAUGAAGUUGAAUGCCACUCACAAUGGAGGACAACCUUAAUAUGGUACUCAACACAUACUAUAAAGUAUCAAUCAGAAGGCCUCAAACAAAAACAACCAAAAAUUAAAAGGAAAAGUCCAUUCAUUACCAAUACAGGUAGCUGAAAUGCCAUGGCUUCAAUGGUUAUCCUUCCAAAGCACUCUCCUCGUGCCUGCAAAGAAGAAAAAGAAUAUUAUGAAACAACUUCUCCAUCGUUGAGGCAUCUUUAUCUAUAUGGGUUGUUGGUAACAAUGUUGGCUUACAAACUUAUGCUGGUAAACUGAAAACAAUUAAAACAAGUGCAGAGACAAUAAAUCAAAGGGGAUGUGCAAAGGAAAAGAAAGAAAAAGUGAAGUACAAUAAAAUCAACAGAAUGCUAAAGCAGAGGGGAACCUGCCUGGGAAUUCUGAACAAGAACAUCAAUGGCAGCUAGGUAAGGGGCCACUGUCAGCGUUUUAUUUACAAAGUGAACACGAUCUUGAAUCUUUUUUACUCUUACAAAAUCACGCAGUUGUGACUCAAACUUGGGCUGAGCAGUCAUGUCACUUCCCACAAUUACUGCAUGCAUUGAUGGAACCCUCAAUUUCUUUUGUAUAAUCAAUUGCAAGCUCUCAUAGAAGGAUUGCAGAAAUAAAUCCUGGCCUUUUCCACGUGAAACACCUGAAAUUAUGUAUACUUUUAGUGUUCCCAAGAUAUAAUUGUACAAGAUACUAGCACAAACAUGAUACUUUAAGGCAUGAUAGCAUUAGCAAUAGAUACUUUAUGUAUCUAUUAAGUGCAAUGAUGAGUGAGAAUUGUAAAAUGUGAGGACAGUUUCAAAAUACAGUCUACAGCAUAUUGCUUCAACUGGUAGAAAUUGCAAACAUGUGGUUUUGGGCAAGCAUGUUAACCAAAUAAGCUGCAAUAGCUGAACUCAACUACAACUGUACCAGACCAAAACGUUCAUUCUAGAUAUGGAAAGGAUUAUAAUGAUUGAGCAUUAGCAAAGUGAAUGAAAACCAAAACAUAAAUCGGCAAUGUGAAAUGCAUACUGUUUAUCAUUGCAAAGAGUACAUCUUCAUCCCGAACUCCAAGAGACUCCCGAACAUGUUCACGCAAAACCCUUUUUGCCACACUAUCUUCAGCAAUGUCCAUGAGGUCCUUGCUAUUGCCAAGGUGAACCACAUAGGUAUCAGGCAUUUUAAUCCUGCAAAGUGGAAAUGAGUAAAAGUUUUAAAAAUCCUCAGUUAUCAAACAUUGGUAUGUUAGAUUUGGACAUACAAACAAUGAUUACUAAUCAAACAUAUACUCUUACACUAGGUUGUAAUCUUCCCUUGUUGCACAUUGCUAGCUAGGAGAACAUAGAAGAAAAUCAUAGUUCUAAGGAAACACUGCACAACUUUGAGAAAGUCAAUCUAACUAAAAGUUUUAAGGACAUAUAUAUCAAAGAUAAGGUCUUCAAAGUCUUAAUUUCACCCAAUUUAUAUAAACCAUAAGCAUUGAAGGACCUGUACAUUCACUACAAAAUACUACUUUUCUUAUCUUAGAUCAAUAUGCCACAAAGCAUAUCAAAAUGGAAAUUGCAACUAAGAGCAGCAAUAUAAGAGCCACAUCAAGAAACACACAUGGUCAUGCACAGACCAACACACACAACAAUCACACACAUGCACACACUCACACAGAGACACACACUUGCAGAUACCUCAAAUAAUCUCUAGUUCCGGUUUUCCAGUACUCUGCUGCUACAUGUGAAUCAAUCAUAGCGGCAGCAACCAGAGGGAGGUGCCUGACAUACUCUAAUUGGAAAUAAUGGCCUUGUAUUUCAUGAAUCCACCACAACACUUUUGGAAGAACGUGAGGGACAUUUUCCUUCAGGACAUCAUCCAGCCAUUUUCCAGCCAUGACAGUGUUUAAAACAAGCAAAUCAGCUUUUAAAGCUCUGUUUAUAGCUUCUCGACCCUUUGCAGGCAAAACCUAACAACGUAUGGACAACAAUAGUUAGAAGCCAGAUUCAUAAGUUACAAAGAAAACCUACCAACCCACCAAAAUAAAGGAAAAGGCAAAUUAAGCAACAUAGAAAAACCAGAUAUGUACAGACUCAAGUUCAAAUUUUACCAUGACUCCCAAGAAGAUAAAAGUGUCUCUGCAGGCCAUACCAUCCCAAACCAAGAUUAAAAUGGCAAGCAUCAAAAGUGUGAGCUUGGCACAAUGCCAAACAGUCAUCUGGAAUAACUUCAAACAGAAGGCAAAAAAGCCUGAAGAAACUCCGUUGUAAACGUUUUUUUCUUACACCAUUUUGAGAAGUACAACGUCAAAAGUCAUUUAGAAUUCUGUAACAGAGUUUGCAAUUUUCAUUUUAGAUGUAUUUUUAUACCUUUUCACUUUUUUGAAAUUCCAAGCUACCUUUUAUUGUAAUCAAAUGAUUUAAAGACCAUGUUAGGCUUUUUGAAGUUAAAUUCAUCUAUAAUGUUUCAUUUGGUGUUGUCAAAAUAGAAAUUCUAGUAAUAAUAUACAGAAGAGAUUUAAUGUUCAACAUAUCAAUGAUUUCCCUCUCCCGCUGGCAAUAUGGACCAUAACAAACAAUCCUGCCUAUUAAAGAGAACCCAGUGUGAACCUUUUAAUGGUUAAUCAAAAUACCAAAAUAAUAAUAAUAAUAAUAAUAAUAACAACAAUUUUCAAGAGUUAAGAAAAGAUAACUGAAAUAAUAAUUCCCAAGAAUUAAGAAAAGAUAAUAAAACUCUUAGAAGCACACUAACCCAGUUCAUAAAUUGGCAAUUUGACAAAAUGAAAUUUACAUCACCUGUACUCCUCGGUGUUGCAUUUUAUUCUCCAAACUGUAUAUCACUUCAUCUGUUUCUGAUGGUUUAUGGUUUGUAAUCCAACAAACUUCAGCGCCAACACUUCUUAACAGAAAUGCUAGCUCCAUCAAUAAUAGCGGGCCACCUGUGAAGGAAACAAAAAAUAAGAACUCCAAAUGAAGGAGAAUGAGAAAGCAAAAGUAUAAGAAGAAGAAAGAUAUAUUAAGCAUAUGCUUCAGAGACAAAGAAAAAGUUGUUAUAGACAUCAGACUUUGAAAACAAGAGAGAAAGAAUGAGAGAGACAGAGAGAUCUAUAGCUGUUGGUGUCAUUUAUUUCCUAUUGAGAAACUUGUCUUCUGCCCUCAGCAGAAUUAUGUAUUAACACAGCAUGUUCAAACCAACAUUUUUCUGCACUUUUCUUUCCCUUUAUACUAAUUUCUAUUAUGAUAUAAAUAAAUGAAAAAAAAAAAAAAAACUACUCAAGACUUAAAUACUGUCUUGGUAAGUAACUGAUCCUUUGUGGUUAAAGUCGGGAGUUCCACCCUCGAAAGAAUUUAAAGUUCCCAAAAGGAGAACUAUAUGGAAAAGAAGCAUUUUUUGAUGCAUCAACACUUGUCUGUCUAUUCAUUAAUUUUUUCAUGCAAGGAAAAUGACAUAGUGAAAGGGUCUUCUCUGAAACGGUUGCAAUCAUUAUUAAAUGACAAAAAAAGUAUUACUUCCUUCCAUGUAUAUCGAUAUAUUCGAUCUAGUGAAGUUACCACUUGAUCCAUUUAUGGAGCAACAUUUCAUCCCAAACACUAGGAAUACUUGACAGAGUAAUCCUAGGCUAUAUCCAAACCAAACUAUAUUAUCAUGCAUAUAUUUCCAAAAAUUUCAAAAUUCAAAUGACGUUUGUUAUACUGCUUCUUUACUACUAUGAUACCCAAACUCUCCAACUUUACUUAGCGUAUCUAUGUCGACACAACAUGACGUGGGUGUGGAUGUGAGAUCCUUGUUUGUUUCUCUUACUUGGCUUUGAAUAUGGCUGUUUGACUUUGACUAUUUUUUUUCAACCUCCUUAAUAGAUCAUUACAUUGAAAAAGAGAGGAUUUAGCGGUAAUGAAGAAAAGGUAAAGAUUAAAAAUUAAAAAAUAGAGGUUAUUAUCAAUAUAUACUCUUUUCAAUUAAUUUCUAAUUGGUUUUUCCUUUUUGUCCUUUUAUUAUGUCAUAUCCAUGUAUCCAUAUCUAAAAUUUAAAUUCCUUUUAGCUGGUUCCUUGCAUCCUAAAUUUUGGAGUUAAAAAUAUCCAACUCCUAAGGAUGUACCCACACUUGACACAUGUGGCCAAGUCCAAGCAGCAUAGCUUCUUUAGAAGUUCAAGACUGCUGAGCAGUGCAAAUUUUUUUGUUGCCUCCACAAAGCACCUCCCUUUUAUCAAGUUGGGUUUCAAUGGCUUCCAUCAUUUUGUGAAGGUAAACAAGCAUGGACACAAAAUAUAUCCCACCACUCUGUUAAACUUCAUAUAUUCCAGAUAGGCACCCCUGUAUUCAAUUUAUAAUUGUCACCAACACCUUAACGAAGAAAAGGACAUUGAAAAAGAAAGGAUUUAGCGGUAACGCAGAAAAGGUAAAGAUUAAAAAAUUAAAAAAUAGAAGUUAUUAUCAAAAUACCCUUACUCUUUUCAAUUAGUUUCUAAUUGGUUUUUCCUUUUUGUCCUUUUUUUAUGUCAUAUCCAUGUAUCCAUAUCUAAAAUUUAAAUUCCUUUUUUAGCUGGUUCCUUGCAUCCUAAAUUUUGGAGUUAAAAAUAUCCAACUCCUAAGGAUGUACCCACACCUGACACAUGUGGCCAAGUCCAAGCAGCAUAGCUUCUUUAGAAGUUCAAGACUGCUGAGCAGUGCAAAUUUUUUUGUUGCCUCCACAAGGCACCUCCCUUUUAUCAAGUUGGGUUUCAAUGGCUUCCAUCAUUUUGUGAAGGUAAACAAGCAUGGACACAAAAUAUAUCCCACCACUUCCGUUAAAACUUCAUCUAUUCCAGAUAGGCACCCCCGUAUUCAAUUUAUAAUUGCCACCAAUACCCUAACUCUGCAGGCUAUGAGAUAUUAAAGGGGAGGUUAUUUUUUGGCAUUUUACAUUUUUUUUACUUACAUGAUAUUUGGCGGACAUCUAGUACCCAUAGUAAAUGGAAACACGACAAAAUGGGAGAACAUGCUAAUAAAGCAGCCUAUAAUCCUGAAAUCACUAUAUUCCACAUAAAACCGUUAAAACACAUUCCAUGAACAUCUUUCUGUGUUCAUAACUAAUACUUCUAUUGGAUUAUAUAUGAAAAUAAAGACAAACACAUGGCUAAAAUAAGUCAUACUUACAAACCAGAAGCCUUUGUCAGAUCAGACAAAUGAGAAACAGGAAAAAAAACAACAUAGAUUCACUGAAAAUGAAACCUGAUAAAAUGUGAUGACACGCCAAUGCAUCCAGCACAUUAUCUUGACAUCAAUUUUUCUCAAAUAAUAGUUAAAACACAUUUCGUGGACUUUUUUUGCAUUAACAAUUCCAUUGAAUUAGAUACAAUAAAUAGCUAUCAAAAAUAAAAUAAAAUAAAAAUUUUGAAUUAGAUACAACAACAAAAAAAACACAUGCCAGGCUAAAUGGUUCAUCCUAACGAACAGAAAUACUUUGUUAAACAGACACAGUACAUAAAACAGUACGGAUUCAUCAUAAAAAAAAAAACCGACAAAUUGUAUCUAAUCCAGCAGCCUAUUAUCUUUACUUGUCACCUGGAUGGCAGUUAAAAGACCUUCCCUGAAAGUAUUCUUCUUGAAUAUUUCUGUUGAAUUAGCUACGUAAGACAACACAGACAUGAGCUGGCUAACACAAUUCGCCCUGAUAAAUUGGAAGCCUAAGUUUCAUGUGCUUCUUAUCCAUUAACUGCUUCCAUAUUUAGCUUUAGUGUAUAUUUUACUGUCUGGACAUCAAAAUAAAUAAUUUAUUAAUAACUUCCAUUGAAAUGUGCAGAACAUCGGGUUGGAGUGCAUCGCCGACAGUCCUACUAACAUGCUCACCAUACAAUUACACCUUUUUAACUUACUGAGAUUGUAUUAGUUAAUGACAAUUGCAAGUAAAAUUACCCUCCAAUGAAAUCCACAUUUAAUGAAUAAAUAGCCCAACAACUAGUGUAGUAACCCUCACUCCAUUUCCAGGGAAAAACAGAGGAAAAUUAAGAACAUUAGGUCAUUACACUUCCAAGUUAAACAUCAACCAAAUUUAAUCCUCAAAUCAAUGGUUCACACACAAGCAUAAUAAGCGCCUCCCUAAUAAUGGAGAAAGCAUAUGAAAACUACAAGUAUACAAAAUCAAUCGAACCUCUCGGUGUUUUUGUGCUGUUCCGGAGUCCAACAAAGGAAAAAGAAAUAAACAAAGAAAGAAAAAUAUAACCUCGAAUAAAUGGCUCUGUCUUUCUGAGUACGAACAAUUAAAUAAGACUCAAAACCACAACAAUUGCUUAUACUUUCUUACAUCUUCUCAGCAAGAAAAAGGAGGAGCAAACAGUUAAUCGUUUCAAAAACGCAUGAACACCGACAAUUCAGGAGAUUCAAGAAUGUUACCUGAAAGAGAGAGCUCGUGCGAAACCAGAAGAACUCGCUUCGACUUCAUGAAAGAGAGUGGGCUUGGAGCGGCCCCAAACUGCGGCAACGGUUCGAACCGCUUAACCCCGGCGUCGGAAUGGCGAUCGCAGGAAAUGGAAGGGGCUCUCUUGAUGAGGAAAACGACGGUGGGGACGGAGAAGAAGAAAACGAGAGCGAAGAGGAAUUUCUUGCGAAGAGAAAACCGUGGAGCGGAGUGUCUCGCCAUAGCUAGGGUUUGCGAAUAAGAGAUUCUCCCUCACAGGUCUCGACCUUUUAGGGUAAGGAGUUGCGGUUGAGAGUGGGAAGUCGUGAACGUCUGGCUUUGGAGGUUCGACACUUGUAAAGAGAUUUUGGGCUUUUGUAGACUCUGGCAAUCGCCACUGACAGCGGUGCUUGAGGUAAUGAACCCCAAUAUUACAGCAUCUUUGCUUGUUUUCAUCCAGUCCCAGAGAGUGGUCACGCAGCCAGCUCGGCCGUUUAUUUCAGUCGACGCUCACGACGACGAAUGGAAACGAAUGAGAAAUUAAAAGGAAUAGCUUUAUAUACUGCACGCGGGAGGAGUUUGGGCGGUGACUUCACUUCCACUGCUAUUGUCCUUUUAUAUUAUAGAAAAACAAUUAAAAAGGAAGAGAUAAUAUUUAUAUUAAAAAUAAAUAAUUUUAAUGUAUUAAAAAUUAUAUUUCAUUUUGAGAUUUUUAUUAUAAAUUUUUUAUAUGAAAAGCGUAUGAUAUAAGAAAUAAUUUAAAAUAUUGUUGAAUAAUAUUUUUACUCAACAGAUUUCUUGUUUAUAAAAGAUGGAGGUCUAUUUUAUUCAUUUUAAUCAAAUAACUUAAAAAAAAAAUGUAAUAUCUUAUAAAAUAAUUCUUUUGUAGUUUCUGAAAAAAAAAAUCAAAUAAUUAGCUGUUAAAAUACAAGUUAAUUUAAAAAAAAUAUAUAUAUUUUUUCUGUUUUAGUAUAUUUUCUUAAAUUUGUGUUUAAAAAACUGUUUUUAAGUUAAAUAACAAAAAAACAUUUUUUUAUUGUUUUAUAAAAAUAAGUGUAUCUAGCAACUUGUUUUUAAAAAUAAUUUUUUUGUUUUAAUUUUAUAAAAACAUUACAAAUUUAAUUUAUAUAAUAUAAAUUUAAUUUAAUUCAAAUUUUAUUAAAAAUGAAAAUUGUUUUAUAACUAUAAAUAAAUUUUAAAAUAAAUAGUUUUUAGUAAAAUAUGAAUAAAAAUAUUAUAAUAAAAUCAUAAAUUAUAUUUUUUAUAAAAAUAUAUACUAUUUUAGUACAUGUUCAAAACAUAAAUAUAUUAACAUAUUCGUAAAUUUUUUUGGUUAAAAAUCAUUAAUAAUAAUUUAAUUAAAAUAAUAAUUUUUAACAAUAUUUUAAUGUAAAUAAGUUAAGUUUUUCAUUUCAUAUACACAUUUAAUUUUGAAUUACGAAUAUAAUUUUCAAGAAUGUUUUCAUUUAUUCUACAAUUAAUUAGAUCGGUUUUUUGAAUUCAAAAUUAUUCUUAAUAAUUAAGAAACUAAAAAAUUUAUUAAAUAAUUUAAACUAUUAAUUAUUUCUUACUUAAUUUAUAAUUUAUUUAUCUAAAUUCAAAAAAUAUAGUUGUAUACUUGUACAUUAAAAUCAUAGCUCAUAAUAUAUCAUUUUUUUAUCUAUAAUUUUUUUUAAUAAUUAGAUCUAUUUUUUUAAUUUCAAAUUAUUUUUAAAAAUAGUUAAACACAUAAAUAAAUUCAAUACAAAGUGUCACUUGGUUUGAAAAUGUGAAUUUAAAGGCUAAUUAAUUAAAAAAAUCAAUGGUAAAAUCAUGACUCAUAAUAUAUUAUUUUUUAUCUAUUAUUAUUUUUAAUGAUUAGAUUUUUUUUAAUUUCAAAUUAUUUUUAAAAAUUGAGUUAAACACAUAAAUAAAUUCAAUGCAAAGUGUUACUUGGUUUGAAAAUCUACAUUUAAAGGCUAAUUAAUUAAGAAAUCACCCCAUGGGUGAAUUAGGUUUUUUAAAACUUUUAACAACACAUUAAAUUUAAACAAAAUAUAGAUUAGUAAAUGUAAAGAAACAGGGGAUAAAUGAUGCAAACUUAAGAUGUAUAAUGAUUUGGUAAUCUUUGCCCAUAUUUGCUCUCCUUAAACUCUCACCGAAUCAAAUGAGAGUUUCACUAACUUGAAGCUUUAAUUAAAUUUUCAAACCUUUACACUUAGAUUUUAUGACUUCAAUGUGCACUACAAGUUCCUUUCAAGUAUAACAUCAACUUGAAGCUAAACACUCAUAACCUUACUUCAAUAACUAUGAAUGAAAACACUCAUAGGCUAACUCAAUAAAUAAACAAAUAUAAUGAAAACUAAGAGGAAAAACAAAAGUGUAAUAGAAAAUUUUGCAAACGAGGUUUAAUGCACUUGAAAAGAAUAUGAGAGUUUUUUCAUGAGAAAUAAGUACGUAAGAAGACAAUAGCAAAUGUUCUCUAUACAAUAAAUGAAACGAAACUCUCUAUUUAUAGGUUUUUAACUUCAAAUACAAAAGCAAACACGGUUGAAUUUUGGUUCAAUUGAUUGAUUAUUCAUUAAACAUUAAUUUAAAAAUCUAUUUUUAAAUCACAUGACUAAAUAGACUUUUAAUUUCAUUGAAUACUAAUUUGUUUUUGUAUCAGACAAUCAAGCUUGAUGUAAUAAUUUUUUGUUAUUAAAUUCUAAAAAUAAAUUACCAUCGCUAUUUUUAAAAUUAGCUCUAAAAUAUAUGUGCCAUCAAACAUACCCUAAUAUUUUGAAAAAAUAUGCAUGAAAGGGCUUUCAUUUUUGUUCUUGCCACAUUAGCAAUAAUAUGUGUAAAUAAAAAAUUAAAGAGUGGGGUGGUGGAGUCAAGAAUUUGAGGAAAUGUGAGGGGAAGAAAACAAAGAGGUAAAAGGAAAUAAAAUUUUUUAAAAUAUAUUUAAAAUUAAUAAAUUAUUUUAUAUAUUAUAAUAAACUCAUUUAAUUCAUUUUAAUCAUUCUUUAAAUAAUUUAAAAAUAUGUAAUUUUUUUUAUUAAUUUUAAUUAUAUUUAUUUUUUAUGUUAUUCAUAAUAAAACCAAACAUUAAAAAAUCACUUUUCUAUAUUUUUUUCCUCUUAAUAAUUUUUGGAAAUCAAGCAUACUUUAAGGUCAUUAAAAACAUUGUGUGGUUUUUCAUCACUACGACGUCAUUACGGGAAGUGAUAAUUUCAAGAGUUUAAGACCAAAAUAAUUUAUUUGUAAAAAAAAAUGGUAAGAAUAGUAUCCAUUUCAAAAUAUUUGUCAAAGUAAUCUUCUUUAUCCACGUAAGCAUCCACAUGGAUUUUAAGUGUAAAAAACCACCGUUGGUGAUUGUAGUUUUAAAACUUACAAAAAUAUCCUUAAAACCGCAGUUACAAACUGUGGUUUUACAAUUUCUCUUAGAACCACAUUUACUAACUGUGGUUUUAAAAGAAAUAUCCUUAAAACCACAGUUACAAAUUAUGGUUUUACAAUUUUCCUUAAAACCACAGUUAGUAACUGUGGUUUUACAUUUAAUGGUGUUGUAAUUUAAAUAUUAUUUUAAAAAUAUUUUUUUAUCAAAAUAACCAUAAAACCACAGUUAGUAACUAUAGUUUUACAAUUAUUUUUAACCCACAUCUAUUUUAAUGGUGUUGUAAUUUUAAUAUUAUUUUUAAAAUAUUUUUUUAUCAAAAUAACCAUAAAACCACAGUUAGUAAUUGUGGUUUUAAAAAUGUUAUAAAACCCACAGUCACAGAUUGUGGUUUUAUAAUUUUCUUUAAAACCACAGUCACAGACUGUGGUUUUACAAUUUUCACAAAUAUUUUUAAGGAGAACUCAUGUGUAAAAAAGUAUGGGAUUUUAGAACUUUGCUUUUCACAAAUUUUUUCGUUACGACUGUUUUAAAAUAUAUAUAUUAUCUUUAUUUUUUCAUAUUUUCCUUGAAAAUUUGAGGAAAUAAUUUGGUCUACAUGCAUUCCCAUAAAAAUUUAUAUAUUUAUGGUAAAUAAAAUAUUUAUUUGUUUUACGAAUAUUUUCACAUAUGAAUUAAAGAAAAUUAUUUAUUCAUAUUAUUUUUAAAUUUUAAAAUAACUAAAGAAAUUGUUUAUAUUAUUUUGAAAUUCUAUAUUUUCAUACGAAAAUUAAUGUCAAUGAUUAUGAUUUUAGGUUAUUUCUUAUUAAGUAUGAUUUGAACUUAUGUCUUGGUUAAAAUGUAUAAUUUUUUAAUUAUAUGAAAGAAAAAUAGGUAAUGGUUGUAAUAAUUUAUUUAGUUAGAAUUUCUUUCAUUUAGACUUUAGGAUGCAUUUGAGUUUUAUUUGUUUAAAUUAUCAAGGAAACAUGUGAAUAACAUAACAUCACUAAUUUGAAUUAACACUUUAUAUAACCUUAAAUGUAUAAACCAAAGUAUAAUAGUUCUACAAACAUGAAAAAAGAUCUCAAUGUGUCCCACAUGAUGGAAUCUUUCUCUUUCGUUGUGAACAUCUACGGUAUAUGGCCAUAUUUGUUGUAUCUAUAUGUGCUAUCUGAAAAGUCUCCAUCUCUAUAGAUUGUGACAUGUCAUCUACAUGAACUAUCAAAUUAGAUGGAACUGGUGGAGGUAGAACUCGACGUACACGUGGAGCUCGAUGUCCUCUAGGUACCCGUACAUGUAAUCGUGCGGCAUAAGCUGUCUCCUGAAGAAAAAAUUAGAGGUGCAAUGGACUCUGUAACAGGUGGAGGUGCAAUAGACUUUGUAACAGGUGGGGGUGCAAUAGACUCUGUAACAGGUAGGGGUGCAAUAGACUCUGUAAUAGGUGAGGGUGCAUCCAAUGAUAUAGAUGGUUGAACAAGGGUAAGGGUAGAUGGUAUGGCAGUCUUGGGUCGAGAUGAAUGGGCUGGUAUGGAUAUAUCAGGGGGAGAAAAUGGCAACUCUAAUGAUGCAGAUGGCUGAAAUAAAGGAAAGGUAGAUGUGACUGGUGGAUGUGAGGGUUGUACCAAAGUAGAUGCCAAAGGUACAUGUCGGUGACCAGCUCGACGACCACCUCUCCCCCGACCUCUAAUGGGUGAUACCCUAACAAGCGUAAUCAAUGAUGGUGGUCUCAUGGAUGGCCUUGAAGAUGUGGAUGGCUCAUGUGUCGAGUGUAUGCGAUGGUCCUCUCCUAUAACACGUAAAACAUCAAUAACAAUUCGGUGAGUUUCUUCCAAAUCAUUUGAAAUAGCCAUUUGCGAUACGGCGGUGAUUUGUAUAAGAAAAUGAAACAUGAGGCAUUUACACAUAAUUUAAGUUUAACAUUCGUUAAAAAAUGGUUUUGUAUCUCAAAUGCUCUCACCAAUAACUCAGUGGUAGAAGCUGUACUAUGGAACCUCAUAUGAUCUCUAUGCAAAACAGGUGUGAUCAGGCGUCGCGUGAUACGUCGAUACCACUGCAUAUAUGGAUCAUAAAAAGCCAUGGUAGUAAUCGCAAGUGGUGCUGUCGCAAUACGCUCAAAACGAGUAGCCCAAAGAGAAAUAUAUUGAGCAUGGAAUGUACUGAUGUCGUCCUCGCCUAUCCACUAAAUGUAGCUCCAUAUCUAUCAAACAAGGUGGAUGUAUCCUUUGUUGCAUACGAAACUGGGGUAAAACUCGCUCUAGUCUAUGCCACUCAAUAAUAUCAAAGCAAAUUAGAGGCGACAUAGUUUGCCAAAUUUCUUCAUCAGCCUAACAUAUAGCCGGAAGAUGUGCAAUCAAAUUUGCUGUAUAUGGUUCCCAUAAUACUUGUAAUUUUUUUUAAAAAAUAAUUAGUCACAUUGGUGGAAAAUAUUGUAAAGGUAAUCUUACACAUCUACAUUUUACCUGAUCCUGUGUUUAGGCAUCCAAUUAAUCUCGAUAGAAUGUCAACACAUGUGGUGAUGGGUUAUGAGACCAAGACAAGGGUACUCUCCACUUGUGGCCUAAUGGAUCGACUGGGAGUGCCUCAUUUGGCAAUAGAUGAUCAUGUAAACCAUAAACUACAUCAUCAUGUACAUGUGGGACUACUAUAGGCAUUGGAGGACGAUCGAAAUCAGGUCGACCCACAUGAAGUCUCUCCCAUGACCACAACUACAAAAUCAGAUAGCAUUAUCAAAAUUAGACAACUUACAAUAAUAAUGUGAGUCAAUUAAUUAUAAUAGAUAGUUAUGUCGAAAUACGUGUAAUAGUGUGAUAGGUCCAUAAAUCUCUGUGGCACUAUCUAAACUCGCACGACAUAGUUCUCUAUAUAGGUAUGCCAACACUGCACUGCCCCAACUAUAGUGAGAAAUCUCAGUGAAGUCUCUCAAUAGUGGAAGGUAACAUAAUUGUACAUGUGUGCCAGUCUUGUUUGCGAACAAUGCUCCACCCAAUAGUGCUAAUAUGAAAGCACGCGCAUAGCGCUGUAAAAUAACAUCAUCAACCCCUGUUGGUGGAUAUGAGAACUGCUCACACAACCAUCGUGCUGAUAUAGAUGACCCUCUGAUCUGAGAUGGAGGUGGGACGUCACGUAAAAGAUCAGAACAUAGUAGUGACCAAUCUAUGUCACAUGUGCCAGUGAUAGGAGGCCCAUGAAUACAUAAUCCUAGAAUCAUGGCUACAUCCUGUAAAGUAACAGUCAUCUCUCCAAUAGGUAAAUGAAAUGUGUGUGUCUCGGGCCGCCAUCGCUCAACAAGACUCGUGAUCAAUGACCAAUCUAGUGAAAUGUGUCUGACACGAUAUGCACCAUAAAAUCCAGAUUGCAUCACAUAUCGCCGAAUAGGAGGGUCCAUCUCCCACUCUCGCAUGAAUGUCCAUAAACGUUGUCGACAUGUCAAUACCUGAUGAAGCCACAAAAGAUACCAUUUCGAUUAAAUAAGAACUUAAUUAAGGUUUAUGAUUAUGUUUUUCUAUACAUCUAUAUUUAUAUAUACAUAUAUACCCAACCAGAAUCCACUAAUUGAGACCUUUGUCUGUCCUGUAGCGCUAAAAUAGAGCGAUCUAAUGGAUCUGGAUCGAAUCUGCCUUCUCUAUGCUCCAUUACUAUACUAUCAUAAUAAAUUAAUGUUAAUAUUACAAUUUAAACAAUUUCGACAGAGUAUCCCCUAUAAAAAAGGUAUUCUCCAAAAAACAAAGAUCCUGAUUAAUCAAAAUAUUUAUUCGCAACCAAUAUCAAUAUCCAAGUACAAUAAUUUAAAAAAAAAUUGUCAAACACUAAUGUUCACAUCCAAAUUUUAAAAAUUUCGACAGAGUAUCCCCUAUAAAUAGGGUAUUAUCCAAAAUACAAACAACUUGAUUACUCAAAAUAUUUAUUUGCAACCAAUAUCAAGAUCCAAGUACAAUAAUUUAAAAAAAAAAUUGUCAAACACUAAUGUUUACAUCCAAAUUUUAAAAAUUUCGGCAGAGUAUCCCCUAUAAAUAGGGUAUUCUCCAAAAUACAAACAACCUGAUUAAUCAAAAUAUUUAUUUGCAACCAAUAUCAAUAUCCAAGUACAAUAAUUUAAAAAAAAAAUUGUCAAACACUAAUGUUCACAUCCAAAUUUUAAAAAUUUCAGUAGAGUAUCCCCUAUAAAUAGGGUAUUCUCCAAAAUACAAACAACCUAAUUAAUCAAAAUAUUCAUCUGCAACCAAUAUCAAUAUUCAAGUACAAUAAUGAAAAAAAUGUAAUAAUAUAAUGUUCGCAUCCAAAUAUUAAAAAUUUUGACAGAGUCUCCCCUAUAAAUAUGGUAUUCUCCAAAAUACAAACAACUUGAUUCAUCAAAAUAUUCAUAUUACAAUUUUGAAAUUAACAGCAAAGUCUCUCUUAUAACAUAAGUAUUGUCCAAAAUACAAAUAACAUAAUAUCAACAUCCAAAGCUUACCACCCAUCAUGAAGGCCCAGCACCCAUGUUCUUAUUUGGACAAGAACGACGAUUGUGACCACUUUGUUUGCACAAACCACAUGUAACCGAGGUUUUACCUUCUCUAACAUUCAUUUCAUUGUACAAACAAGUAGAUUUAGGUCAUCCACUUGACACACGUUUCAUUGAAUCUGUAGGCACAAUAACUGGACCAACAUAUGGUGGCCACUCGUACUCAUUAUGUAUGGGGUUAAACAGUGGUGCCCAAGUGCUAAAGUACGAUUGUAUAGUAUAAUAAUGUUGAACAAAUGAUCUAAAAUCAAUUGAACGAAAAUGACAUGCCGCUAGAAUAUGACUACAUGGGAAUCCAUAUAUGAGUGUUUUGCCACAUGUGCAUCCAUGCUCACGUAGGUUAACACGAUAUGUUCUUCCACCAGAUGAUGUCUUUUUACUACCUACUGGCCUUCACAUGAAACAGUCCUUGGAAGUGGUCAUACAAAACAACCUCAUGAGAACCUGCCUUAACAACAUUUGCAUUAAUCUUAGCAUCAACAUAAAGAGUGUAUUGUUCACCUAAAGCAAGUCGACUAGCACCAUGUUCUCUUCUUACAACAAAGUAACUAUUAACUCGAUAGAAUGUCAAUUGAACAAAUGCGGUGAUAGGGAAACUUCGUGCCCCUUUAAGCACACUAUUGAACACUUUUGACAUGUUCGUAGUCAUUAUGCCAUAUCGUCAACCUCCAUCAUGUGAUAGUGCCCAUUUCUCAAAGGGAAUAGCCUCCAACCAGUUGAGUGCGUCUUGAUUGAUUCUCCCAAUCGUCUCCAUAUGCAUGUUGAAUUUUUCUACCUUAGUUUCUAAGGCGGCUCUGCAUAAAAGUUGUUUCAAGCAUUUGUCCUUAAAGUGAGUCAUAAAGUUGCUAGCAAAAUGGCACAUACAAAUUUGAUGAUAUGCAUUUGGCUCAGACUAACCAAGAUAAACAUCAACAAACGCAGCCAUAAUGCCCGGAUGACGAUCAGAGAUAACACAAAGACCCCUCAUUUGAGUUACUCGAUUUCUAAUACAUGCCAAAAACCAUCCCCAAUUAUCAACAUUUUCACCCUCAGUUAAUGCAAAAGCAAGAGGAAACAAUUGAUUAUUUCCAUCACAGCCCAUGGCAAUCGUUGCAGUGCCCUUAUACUUCCCAUACAAGUCUGUACCAUCAAUAGUUAGCACAUGACGACAAUGCUUGAAACUCUCUAUGGAAGGAUGAAAUGCCCAAAAGUCUCGUUGAAAUACCUCUUCAUUUCGCAUAUUUCCUGGGAAUGUUUUAGAAAUUACAACACAUCCUAGAUUGGCUUGCUCUAAGGCACCAAAAAAAUGUGGCAGUUUACCGUAUGAUUUAUAGAAUCACCAAACAAAAUAGUUAAUGCUUUACGCUUGCCUUUCGAAGCCUUAGUGUAUGAGAUAUGGUACCCGAAUCUUUCUACAACACUUGCUUGAAUGGCAGCCACUGAAAGUGUGAAUUGUGUCUUAAUCAUUCCCUCUAUAUGGGUGGCUAUCAGGUUUGAGUCUAACUGAUGAUGAUCUUGGUUCAUGCAAGGAUUGACACAUGUGUGUGGGCCACUAUAUUUGUUGAUCUCAAAUAAAGAUGUCCCUUUAACAACCGUAGCACGAAGUCUCCAAGGACAUUGAGACUGUUCAGCUUUCUUGCAUCUUAGGGCCAACAAUUUCUUUGUGGAUGACAAAACGAUAUACUCUUGGUGCGAAUUAAUAGAGUACAUCUUUACAGCAUAUUGCAAAUCUCAUUUGGAAUUAAAUAUUUGUCCAACUAUGAACUCUCCAAUUGGAUGUCCCAUAAGAGUAUUUCCCCAUGGGGUCCAUUCACUUGACACAACAUGACCAAUGUUUUCAACAUUUUCAAAUUGUGGUGAUGGUGCCAAAUGAUAUUGCAUUGGAGAUAAUUCAAUUGGGUCAUCUAAAUCCUAUGUAUCUGGAUUGUUUGACAAGUUACAUCAUUCCCCAUCCACAACCACAUAUCUUAUUUGUUCUCUUUCAAUUGCCUCAUGAACAGCUAAAAAAGACGAGCUACCUUCCCUAUCUUGAUUAUCAUUAUUAUGAACAUCCUCGGCUCCUACACUGUCAUCAUCACAUUGUCUUCCUUCUUCGUCUUCCUCAUCCUCUUCUGAUCUAUGCUCAAAAGUAAAUGGAUUUUGAACAUUACUAGUACCAUCAUUUUCACCAAGUAACAAAGGCAUGCAAUUACCAAUUGGUGAAUUCAUUUGUAAGUCAAUAGGUACUUGUUCAACAAAUAACUCAACUUCAUCCAUCCCAAAUCUGUUAUGCAUUUCUAACAUUCGAGCUACACCACUAUCAUUCUUUACUGGGCAAGGUUGGAAUUUAUUCCAUUUUUUCAUAGGAUACUUCAACUAAGAAUUAAUCAAAAAUGUUCUUUAUUGAUGUCAGUGACCGAGUAUAUCAUUUCCAACAGUUUUUCAUAUAUUGUCCCAAGAGGCACAUCAAUAGGUUCAACCACAACUCUAUCCCCAACAUAAUCAACAUCGGUUUGUGUUCUCACCAUUUUCCCAUUACAAAAACAAACUAUUGCCACCGAUAAAUUAGACAUAGUUUACCUAUAGAAGAAGCCAAAAAAAUCAAAUCAAUUUCAUUUUUAACCACAAAAUUACACAAUAGAAAACUUUACUAAUAACAUCAAUUUUUAAUGAAAUAACAAAUAACAAUAAUAGGGUAUGUUAUUAACAAUAAUCAAAUAACAAAUAACACCUUAAUAUCCAAAUAAUUCAAUGUUUUUUAUUAAUAAUAUUUUCUUAUUAUUUAUUACCAUUAAAAUUGAAUAAAAGGUUGUUAUUUUUCCAUUAACAAUUAAAAUGUCUUUGUUUAAGCUACCCAAAUUAAGUGGGAAAUUUUUUUAAAUUUGUUCAAAUUUUGAUUUUAUAUAAGUUUAAAAAAUGGAUGUAAUGUGUACAUAUUCUACAUAAUUAAUAGUUACGACUAUAAAUAUUUUAAUAUUUUCCAUUAAAAUAAUUAAAAAAGAGAAAGCGGAAUAGUUAAUACACUUUUGCUUAUGUCUGGUUAAUUUUUAAUUUUUUUUAAUUUAAUUAAAUUUCUACAAUUUAUAAUUUAAUAAGUUAAAUUUCAAGUAAAAACUAAUAUUUUCUAUAUAUUAAAUUUGUUUUCAAUGUUUUUUUUUUUUUUUAUAACUAUUGAGUUAUUCAAAUAUCUUAUAAUCUUUAGGAGUCUAUCUUGAUCUUAUAGAUUUUUCCCUCUAUGACCUAAAAUAUUUAUAAAAAUAUUCUAAAUAACUUUCCUUAUUCUAUGAGAAAAUAUGAUAUCACAAUAAUAAAUUAACUUAGAAAAUACUUUAUACAAUAUUCUUUACAAAAACGAAUUUAUACUAAUUGAGAAUUUGAUACACUUUCUAAUAUAUGAUACAAUUCAAAAUCUAACCAAUAAUUACAAGCAAUUUUCAUGGUUUGGAGAUCUAGCCUAGGUUCUACAUGUCCUUUUACAGUUUUAUAAAGUUGUUAGCAUUUGUAUAGGUGCUAUUAAAUGUUCCACAUGCCAUUAAAUGAUUCGAGUUCUAGGAGCCCUAUAAUGGCGAAGAGAUUGUUAUAUGCGCAAUAGUAUUAUCUUUAUAAAAAUCUUGAUUGAAAAAUGACACACUCAAAUCUCCUUGAUCCUAAUAAUUUUUUUAAAAAUACAUAUAUAAUAAAAAGUAUAUAUUUUUUUAGAGGAGAAAAAGAAACAAAAAUAAAUUUAAUAAUCACUUCCAAUUUUAUAAAGUUAAUAAAUUAUGAAAACAAAUUUAAAAAUAAUUUGAAAAACUUAAGCAUUUGUAAUGAUGGUUUCUCGGUAAAUCUAGUAAUUAUAAUAAAUAAGAAGAUAAAAUAUUUUAAUAAUAAACAAGUAAUUAUAACUCAUAACCCUAAGGAUUUAUUAGGAAGUGUUUUGAAAAUAGUUUUAAAUUUGAUUCUAUUUGUAAUAUUUUUUUAGAAUAAAAAUACAUAUGGGAAGAUUUUGGACAUGUUUUCUUGUUUGUCAAAUAUUUAUUAAAAAUUCAAAUAUUUAUUAAAAAUAUAUUUUAUUUAUAAUAUUUUAUCUAUCAAAAACUUGUGUUUGAAAACAAUUAAUAACUAUACACAAUUUGAUAUUUUUUAGUUUUCAUAAUCAUAAUAAUAAUAAUAAUAAUAAUAAUAAUAAUAAUAAUAAUAAUAAUAAUAAUAAUAAGUGAUAUAUAUAUAUAUAUAUAUAUAUAUAUAUAUAUAUAUAUAUAUAUAUAUAUAUAUAUAUAUAUAUAUAUAUUCCUUUGUGGUUUUUUUUUUAAUUUUCUUCUAUUUUUUAUUUCUUUUUGUUCCCACUCUAUUUUUAAACAAGUGGAUUAUGAUUAAUUUUUAAUUUUUUUUAUUUAAAAAAGGAAAAUAAACAAGUGGAUUUUUAAUUUUUUAUUCAAAAAAGGAAAAUAAAAAAUGAUUAAACAAAUAAUUUUUAUAUUAAAAAAUUCAAUCAGUUUUCAAAAUUUUAAAAUUAUAAAAAUUAAUUCAAAAAUAAUUAUCAAAUAUCCCUCAAAGAAAGUUAAAAUAAUUUCUUUAUGUGCUCCAAACCAUCCUUUCUGGCAGCCCUCCCUACCCUCCUUCUUGUCCUCUUUCUAUCAUCAAAACUAAAAAAUUCCAAGUUUCAACCAGUAGAGAUGAAAGAGGUGAGAAAGAUGAGAAAUCCAUAAUAUUCCCAUGCUAUAAAAGGUCAGGUGAGCCGAGAGCCUAUUCCACCAACAUACAGGUGAGUAGGUGCCAUACCCUCCUCCUCGCUCUGGUAGAACCUCCGUUUCCAAAAACUAUUAUUACGAGGACUCCUCGUCUUUAUCAUGGGAAUUCAGUGAUCCCAAGAUCAAGAGAAUGAAGAGGAUUGCGUUGUAUAAGGCUUAUGGCAUCGAGAGAAAGAUGAAGACCUCCUUGAGAGGAGGGUUUCGUUGGGUUAAGAACAGAGCUAGAAGAUUUAUUUAUUUAUUUAUUAAAUUGGGCAAAAUCAAAGAAUUUGCAUUUGGGUAAAAAAUUUGUUAUUUUUGCAUGACCUGCACUUUUUCUUCCUCUUCAAACCUUAACCCACCAUCGCCUAAAUUCGAAAUCUACCCAAACCCUCAAUGUACAGAAAACAAUUUCAUUUAAUUUUUCGUUUUCCUCUAUUUGGUUAGUAAGAAAGCUAAGGAAAAUGAGGGGAAAAAAAAACAUACCUAGCCACUGCAAGAUGUUGCUAGUGGUGCUGCUAGUGGGAGCCGCAGAUGGUGAGGAGAGAUGGUGGGAGCCGUAGAGAAGAGAAAAUAAUAGUUAGGGUUUUUGUUGAAUGAUUUCGGAUGAAAAAUUGGGUCUUUAGAGUAGUGGAUUGCUGAUAUGGAUUGCUCAUGUGGAUUCAAAAGACUAGUUUGACAAAUACUUUGAAAGAUGUAUUAGUUUGGUUUUUUUUUUUAAGUAAACAUUACUUUGACUGCAAACUCUAAUUUCAAACCUUCUCAGUUUGGCACCUAAUCAUGUUUGACAAAGAUUAUUAUUACAAUCCCUAAAUAGAUUGAUACUAAAAAGCUUUUCCUUGGUUGAACCAUCCCAUCUCUUCAAAUGGACCAAGCUAUCCAUGAAAAUGAUUUGUGGAUGUUAGCAGGUUAGAUAAAAUUUUAACCUUGACUACAGGAUGGGGGAUGUUGAACGGUUUUGGUUUAGCUUCCUAGAUUAAAUUUCAUACUUUUCCAGAGAGACAACUUUUUCCAUUCCCAUCUCUAACUAUCCCUUUAAGAACAAUUUGCCAAAAAUAGAUGACCAUAGUUGCUUCCUACUCGAGUCUCUAGACAGAUCCCUAAUCCAUUCCAUUUCUAGGUCAGACAAAGUAGGAAAACUGCUAGCUGAAGUCUUAUAGAAGGGAUUGCAAAUGAACAAGUAAAUGGGUGGUAUCAAGGUUAAUGAUGUGGUUUAUUCCAUUCUUAAUAGUUCUAAGAGUUGAAUGACUUACUAACUUUAAAUUCUCUCCUGGGCUUUCCUUGGAUUUUUCAGGCCUGUGACACUCACAGGUUACUCUCUUGGAGCACGAGUGAUUUUCAAGUGUCUGCAGUAUUUGGCUAAAACUGAACAAAAUGGUAAUUGGUACCCUCAAGCUGUUUGUGAUGGAUGGUUUGUAUUGCUUUAAUGAUGUGAUACACAAAUUUUUGCAGCUGAACUUGUUGAAAGAGUUGUUCUUCUUGGAGCACCCACUAUCUUCUAUUUAGCCUUAUUACCUCCUGCUAUUUUGCAGAUGGUGGUUGGAGGAUUUGUGAAUGCAUUCUCAACAAAUGAUUGGACACUUGGGGUUGUCUUUCGUGCUAAGUAUGUAUAAUUUACAAUUGAGCUCCAUGAGAAUCUUCAACCAUGAAGAAAAUGGUAGAUGUGCAAUUGAUGUGCCCUUGUAUGUCUUGGUCUGAUGAAUCAUUCUUAUCGUUGCUUUAGUUAGGGCUGCUCCUUCUGUAGGUUGGUUCCCAAUUCAUCAUUAUCUUUCUUGAGCGGGCUUUGAACAUUACAUGAGCUAAUCAAACCAACCAAUCCUGAUUGUCUUAUUAUAUUUACACAAUUUUGGUAAUACAUCUACUUCAAGAAGAAGAUAGCUUCAGAAACUGUGUUGUCUCAUAUCAUAAUAUGAUUGUGAUGUUAAUUUCAUAUAUUUGCCAUUGGAACAUGUGUGCUGAAUUAUUGAUGUGUAGGGAAAUUAUUUAGUUCUAGAUCAUCACAUAACAAUUUUAGUGUAUUUCCUAUUGAACCAAAUUUUAGGAUUAUUUGUGAUUAAGACAUUUAUUACCUCUAUAAACCUUGCAUCUUUGUCACAAUAUUUGUAAUUACAUUUGUAGUGAAACAAAUAAUUAAUGUUAUUGAGAUACAACCAGUGGUAUUUGACUUCAUUAUUAUACUGAUUAAUUGUAUUGAUGUUGUUCAAAUUUAGUUUCUUUCUGUAGUAAAGAUUCUGGUUUCUGAUGAUAAGAGAAUGCACCUUUAGCAUGUAACAAAUGCUUUUACACAGAUCUUAUAAAGUAGGGCACUUGUUGUGAGUCAUAAUUCAUGUAAUCAACUGCCGCCAAUUAGGAAUAGAGGUCCACACAUUAAAGUGCUUUGUUUUUAGUUUGAAAAACUACUGUUGAAAAGAUUACAAAAUAGUAGAAGUUCCAUGUUAGGUAUUUUGACUUUGUCUCAACAAACAAUAAUGGAGAGACAUCAUUUUUCUCUCGUGCAACAUGAGACUGAGAAACUUCAAAUUGAUAAUGCGCACUGAACUAAGGUUUGGUUUCACAUAGAUACUUUGCAACAAUUUUUUCCUCAUAUGAUGUAAGGAUAUAUAUUUUUUAUACUUCUUCAUAAGACAAUCACAUGCAUUGUAACACAACCAUGAAAUUGACAAAGUCACUACUGUGGUAAGGGCUGAGUUAGCAAAUCAUAAUGUUGAAACCAUUACCCACACUAGCACACUAGAUCGAGUGUUAAGGGCUGAGUUAGUAAAUCAAAAUGCUGAAACCAUUACCACCACUAACAAACUAGAUCGGGUGAGUAUCACAAGUGUAGCUGAGAAGUGUUUUUCAUUACUUGUAUAUCUAUGAGGUUCAAUCUUUGUUUUUGUUUUCUAAAGUUUUUUCGGGUUGUCUUUUUUUUUUUUAAUCCUAGGACAUUCAUGCAGUUAGAGCUCAGUUAGAAGCUGCAAAGUAUGAUGUUAUUAAAUACUGUAUGGGUACCAUUGUUUCUAUUUUAGCUUUGAGUUUUGCUGCGAUUCGCAUGUUGAUGUAAGGAGUUUAGCAAAUCAUGCUAUUGGAAAAAAAAAUGAAUAUAUGGUAUUGAUUUUUUGUGCAUUGAGCCAUAUCGUGUUUUUGUGUCCAUGGUGGUUACCUCAGCUUAAGGAGUAAAGAGUUUUCAAAAAUGUAAGUGAAUGCAUUUCUAUUAACAUUUCCAAAGCAAGGGUAUUCAGUACAUGUUAUUGACUAUUGAGCCACAUCUCUCUUUUUGUGCAUUGAGCCACAUUCUGUUUUUGUGUCUAUGGUGAUUACCUAAUAGAGAAGAUUUUAACCAUGUAUAAUUUACAAUUGAGCUCUAUGAGAAUCUUCAACCAUGAAGAAAAUGGUAGAUGUGCAAUUGAUGUGCCAUAAAUAAUCNNNNNNNNNNNNNNNNNNNNNNNNNNNNNNNNNNNNNNNNNNNNNNNNNNNNNNNNNNNNNNNNNNNNNNNNNNNNNNNNNNNNNNNNNNNNNNNNNNNNAUUAUAUUUACACAAUUUUGGUAAUACAUCUACUUCAAGGAGAAGAUAGCUUCAGAAACUGUGUUGUCUCAUAUCAUAAUAUGAUUGUGAUGUUAAUUUCAUAUAUUUGCCAUUGGAACAUGUGUGCUGAAUUGUUGAUGUGUAGGGAAAUUAUUUAGUUCUAGAUCAUCACAUAACAAUUUUAGUGUAUUUCCUAUUGAACCAAAUUUUAGGAUUAUUUGUGAUGAAGACAUUUCUUACCUUUAUAAGCCUUGCAUCUUUGUCACAAUAUUUGUAAUUACAUUUGUAGUGAAACAAAUAAUUAAUGUUAUUGAGAUACAACCAGUGGUAUUUGACUUCAUUAUUAUACUGAUUAAUUGUGUUGAUGUUGUUCAAAUUUAGUUUCUUUCUGUAGUAAAGAUUUUGGUUUCUGAUGAUAAGAGAAUGCACCUUUAGCAUGUAACAAAUGCUUUUACACAUAUCUUAUAAAGUAGUGCACUUGUUGUGCGUCAUAAUUCAUGUAAUCAACUGCCGCCAAUUAGGAAUAGAGGUCCACACAUUAAAGUGCUUUGUUUUCAGUUUGAAAAACUACUGUUGAAAAGAUUACAAAAUAGUAGCAGUUCCAUGUCAGGUAUUUUGACUCUGUCUCAACAAACAAUAAUGGAGAGACAUCAUUUUUCUCUCUUGCAACAUGAGACUGAGAAACUUCCAAUUGAUAUAGAAACAAUGCGCACUGAACUAAGGUUUGGUUUCACAUAGAUACUUUGCAACAAUUUUUUCCUCAUAUGAUGUAAGGAUAUAUAUUUUUUAUACUUCUUCAUAAGACAAUCACAUGCAUUGUAACACAACCAUGAAAUUGACAAAGUCACUACUGUGGUAAGGGCUGAGUUAGCAAAUCAUAAUGUUGAAACCAUUACCCACACUAGCACACUAGAUCGAGUGUUAAGGGCUGAGUUAGUAAAUCAAAAUACUGAAACCAUUACCACCACUAACAAACUAGAUCGGGUGAGUAUCACAAGUGUAGCUGAGAAGUGUUUUUCAUUACUUGUAUAUCUAUGAGGUUCAAUCUUUGUUUUUGUUUUCUAAAGUUUUUUCGGGUUGUCUUUUUUUUUUUUAAUCCUAGGACAUUCAUGCAGUUAGAGCUCAGUUAGAAGCUGCAAAGUAUGAUGUUAUUAAAUACUGUAUGGGUACCAUUGCUUCUAUUUUAGCUUUGAGUUUUGCUGCGAUUCGCAUGUUGAUGUAAGGAGUAUAGCAAAUCAUGCUAUUGGAAAAAAAAAAUGAAUAUAUGGUAUUGAUUUUUUGUGCCUUGAGCCAUAUCGUGCUUUUGUGUCCAUGGUGGUUACCUCAGCUUAAGGAGUAAAGAGUUUUCAAAAAUGUAAGUGAAUGCAUUUCUAUUAACAUUUCCAAAGCAAGGGUAUUCAGUACAUGUUAUUGACUAUUGAGCCACAUCUCUCUUUUUGUGCAUUGAGUCACAUUCUGUUUUUGUGUCUAUGGUGGUUACCUGAUAGAGAAGAUUUUAACCAUGUAUAAUUUACAAUUGAGCUCCAUGAGAAUCUUCAACCAUGAAGAAAAUGGUAGAUAUGCAAUUGAUGUCCCAUAAAUAAUCAAUGGAGCUAUUGUUGAUAGGAUGUGCAAUUGAUGUGCAAUUGAUGUGCCCUUGUAUGUCUUGGUCUAAUGAGUCAUUCUUAUCGUUGCUUUAGUUAGGGCUGCUUCUUCUGUAGGUUGGUUUCCAAUUCAUCAUUAUCUUUCUUGGGCGGGCUUUGAACAUUACAUGAGCUAAUCAAACCAACCAAUCCUGAUAGUCCUAUUAUAUUUACACAAUUUUGGUAAUACAUCUACUUCAAGGAGAAGAUAGCUUCAGAAACUGUGUUGUCUCAUAUCAUAAUAUGAUUGUGAUGUUAAUUUCAUAUAUUUGCCAUUGGAACAUGUGUGCUGAAUUGUUGAUGUGUAGGGAAAUUAUUUAGUUCUAGAUCAUCACAUAACAAUUUUAGUGUAUUUCCUAUUGAACCAAAUUUUAGGAUUAUUUGUGAUGAAGACAUUUAUUACCUCUAUAAGCCUUGCAUCUUUGUCACAAUAUUUGUAAUUACAUUUGUAGUGAAACAAAUAAUUAAUGUUAUUGAGAUACAACCAGUGGUAUUUGACUUCAUUAUUAUACUGAUUAAUUGUGUUGAUGUUGUUCAAAUUUAGUUUCUUUCUGUAGUAAAGAUUUUGGUUUCUGAUGAUAAGAGAAUGCACCUUUAGCAUGUAACAAAUGCUUUUACACAUAUCUUAUAAAGUAGUGCACUUGUUGUGCGUCAUAAUUCAUGUAAUCAACUGCCGCCAAUUAGGAAUAGAGGUCCACACAUUAAAGUGCUUUGUUUUCAGUUUGAAAAACUACUGUUGAAAAGAUUACAAAAUAGUAGCAGUUCCAUGUCAGGUAUUUUGACCCUGUCUCAACAAACAAUAAUGAAGAGACAUCAUUUUUCUCUCUUGCAACAUGAGACUGAGAAACUUCAAAUUGAUAUAGAAACAAUGCGCACUGAACUAAGGUUUGGUUUCACAUAGAUACUUUGCAAUAAUUUUUUCCUCAUAUGAUGUAAGGAUAUAUAUUUUUUAUACUUCUUCAUAAGACAAUCACAUGCAUUGUAACACAACCAUGAAAUUGACAAAGUCACUACUGUGGUAAGGGCUGAGUUAGCAAAUCCUAAGGGCUGAGUUAGCAAAUCCUAAUGUUAAAACCAUUACCCACACUAGCACACUAGAUCGAGUGUUAAGGGCUGAGUUAGUAAAUCAAAAUGCUGAAACCAUUACCACCACUAACAAACUAGAUCGGGUGAGUAUCACAAGUGUAGCUGAGAAGUGUUUUUCAUUACUUGUAUAUCUAUGAGGUUCACUCUUUGUUUUUGUUUUCUAAAGUUUUUUCGGGUUGUCUUUUUUUUUUAAUCCUAGGACAUUCAUGCAAUUAGAGCUCAGUUAGAAGCUGCAAAGUAUGAUGUUAUUAAAUACUGUAUGGGUACCAUUGUUUCUAUUUUAGCUUUGAGUUUUGCUGCGAUUCGCAUGUUGAUGUAAGAAGUUUAGCAAAUCAUGCUAUUGGAAAAAAAAAAUGAAUAUAUGGUAUUGAUUUUUUGUGCAUUGAGCCAUAUUGUGCUUUUGUGUCCAUGGUGGUUACCUCAGCUUAAGGAGUAAAGAGUUUUCAAAAAUGUAAGUGAAUGCAUUUCUAUUAACAUUUCCAAAGCAAGGGUAUUCAGUACAUGUUAUUGACUAUUGAGCCACAUAUCUCUUUUUGUGCAUUGAGCCACAUUCUGUUUUUGUGUCUAUGGUGGUUACCUAAUAGAGAAGAUUUUAACCAUGUAUAAUUUACAAUUGAGCUCCAUGAGAAUCUUCAACCAUGAAGAAAAUGGUAGAUGUGCAAUUGAUGUGCCAUAAAUAAUCAAUGGAGCUAUUGCUGAUAGGAUGUGCAAUUGAUGUGCAAUUGAUGUGCCCUUGUAUGUCUUGGUCUGAUGAGUCAUUCUUAUCGUUGCUUUAGUUAGGGCUGCUCCUUCUGUAGGUUGGUUCCCAAUUCAUCAUUAUCUUUCUUGGGCGGGCUUUGAACAUUACAUGAGCUGAUCAAACCAACCAAUCCUGAUUGUCCUAUUAUAUUUACACAAUUUUGGUAAUACAUCUACUUCAAAGAGAAGAUAGCUUCAGAAACUGUGUUGUCUCAUAUCAUAAUAUGAUUGUGAUGUUAAUUUCAUAUAUUUGCCAUUGGAACAUGUGUACUGAAUUGUUGAUGUGUGGGGAAAUUAUUUAGUUCCAGAUCAUCACAUAACAAUUUUAGUGUAUUUCCUAUUGAACCAAAUUUUAGGAUUAUUUGUGAUUAAGACAUUUAUUACCUCUAUAAACCUUGCAUCUUUGUCACAAUAUUUGUAAUUACAUUUGUAGUGAAACAAAUAAUUAAUGUUAUUGAGAUACAACCAAUGGUAUUUGACUUCAUUAUUAUACUGAUUAAUUGUAUUGAUGUUGUUCAAAUUUAGUUUCUUUCUGUAGUAAAGAUUCUGGUUUCUGAUGAUAAGAGAAUGCACCUUUAGCAUGUAACAAAUGCUUUUACACAGAUCUUAUAAAGUAGUGCACUUGUUGUGCGUCAUAAUUCAUGUAAUCAACUGCCGCCAAUUAGGAAUAGAGGUCCACACAUUAAAGUGCUUUGUUUUCAGUUUGAAAAACUACUGUUGAAAAGAUUACAAAAUAGUAGCAGUUCCAUGUCAAGUAUUUUGACUCUGUCUCAACAAACAAUAAUGGAGAGACAUCAUUUUUCUCUCUUGCAACAUGAGACUGAGAAACUUCCAAUUGAUAUAUAAACAAUGCGCACUGAACUAUGGUUUGGUUUCACAUAGAUACUUUGCAACAAUUUUUUCCUCAUAUGAUGUAAGGAUAUAUAUUUUUUAUACUUCUUCAUAAGACAAUCACAUGCAUUGUAACACAGCCAUGAAAUUGACAAAGUCACUACUAUGGUAAGGGCUGAGUUAGCAAAUCCUAAUGUUAAAACCAUUACCCACACUAGCACACUAGAUCGAGUGUUAAGGGCUGAGUUAGUAAAUCAAAAUGCUGAAACCAUUAUCACCACUAACAAACUAGAUCGGGUGAGUAUCACAAGUGUAGCUGAGAAGUGUUUUUCAUUACUUGUAUAUCUAUGAGGUUCAAUCUUUGUUUUUGUUUUCUAAAGUUUUUUCGGGUUGUCUUUUUUUUUUUAAUCCUAGGACAUUCAUGCAGUUAGAGCUCAGUUAGAAGCUGCAAAGUAUGAUGUUAUUAAAUACUGUAUGGGUACCAUUGUUUCUAUUUUAGCUUUGAGUUUUGCUGCGAUUCGCAUGUUGAUGUAAGGAGUUUAGCAAAUCAUGCUAUUGGAAAAAAAAUGAAUAUAUGUUAUUGAUUUUUUGUGCAUUGAGCCAUAUCGUGCUUUUGUGUCCAUGGUGGUUACCUUAGCUUAAGGAGUAAAGAGUUUUCAAAAAUGUAAGUGAAUGCAUUUCUAUUAACAUUUCCAAAGCAAGGGUAUUCAGUACAUGUUAUUGACUAUUGAGCCACAUCUCUCUUUUUGUGCAUUGAGCUACAUUCUGUUUUUGUGUCUAUGGUGGUUACCUAAUAGAGAAGAUUUUAAAAUUUGAAUUCCCUAUCUAGUGGGAGAAUCAUGUUGAAAGUGGGGGAAGAUUUUCUUUAUUCUUGGGGCUUCUCUCCAUUGUAGCACCCCCUCAAUAUUUUGGGCCAGGGUUUGUUUUUAUUGUAAUAGCCCCAACAAAAAUCAAUGGAUGGUUGAUCAGCUAGUUGGCAAAGCUCCAGGUGUUGUAUGAAAACUUCUUGUGCUGUCUAGGGAGUUCCAUUGUCUCUAGGCCUCUGCAGAUGCCUGUGUGAUCCCUUGCAGGCCAUUUAGGAUCUGCCUAAAUUCUAAUUUGCACCUUUAGGCAUGCAUGACUCCUUAAUUGGGCCUUGGGGAAGCCUGAAGGAUCAUUGUGGAGUCUUUCCUUUGAAGGAAAGAGGAAAAUGGACAGGAUGAACAUUCCAUAGGAAUUUCUCAAUCUUUGGGUGAUUUCUUGUCAACAAGGUUUAAAUUUGGGAGUCUAAGUUCUACAGGGUUAUGAAUUAGACCACUCCAAAGAUUAUUAACAUAUUCAGAUUUUCUAGGAAUAGAGUGAAUGGUUGGAGACAACCCUUAAUUCCAUUUUCCAUAUAGUAAGAUGUCAGUAGAAAUAUUAUUAAUCUGAAAUGAAUGGCCUUGGCUGAAGAGAUACUGCCUAUACUUAGAAAACUGAUCACUCUACCUCUGUAUGAUACCCUAUGGUACUACCAUUUGUUAUUUGUGAUUGCUAAAUUAUGGAGCAGUUCUACUAUAAAAAGUUAGUAAUGAAGUUUUCUGUGAUCAUUGAGGGCAGCCGAAUGUAAAUUUUCAUUCAUUGGCUUCAUUUAAAAUAUCAUCAUAUUGAUUGGCGAUUUUCGCCAGUCCCCGAUGAGUUAACUGGUCCAUCAUAUUCAUACUCCGGAUCAAUGGUAAACCCUUGGGCCGAGACGGGUAUGGUAGCCUACGGCGAAGCCGGAAAACUAGACCUUACAAGAGGAUUAAAGGAACAAUGAAUAAGAGUGUCAUUUGCAAGGGUUGCAAACCUUCCAUAAUAGAAUCCAUGGCUUCUCCUUCACUCCCUGUAUGUGUUAACUCUGCAACUUAAAGGAUGUUGCCAGUUUUGAGAAGAUAUGAAACGGGCUUUUUUAUACACAAUUUUUGUGAGCCUUUUUGCACAACCGGCCAAACCAUGUGCUAUCUCACUAGACACUGUUCUUUAUUUUAAUUUAUAUUUGGGAAAGUUAGGUUUUAGGCUAUUGAUGUGGAAAAUAUAUGGAUUUGAAAACCCAAAUAUACAAAAUAUGAGAUCCAACUAUCAAUAGGUAAAAUAAUAUCCAAAACGUGCAUUAUGUCCUGUUAGUUUUUCCUCUUUCCAGAUUGCCCUUAAAUUUCUCCAUGUCAUCAGCAAAUCCUCCUCAUGUCAGUAGAACAAUUUGAAAUUUGAACUAAUUCUCAGAGUUGAAACACAAAGAAACCCGACCCGAGAACCAAAAGUAGAGAAUCUCUCUCACUUUUGAUCAUUUUGCCCUAACCCCAUCUCAGGAAAUUCCCAAUUUUGAACCUAGUUUCAAAAAACACAACAUUCCCUGAUAAUAAUCUUCUCCCUCCAUCAUCGCCUAUCAGUCUCUUUCCCCGCGUUUGGUUCCCAAGAAAGCCCAGGAAAAUAAAUCCAAAUGAGCUCCCAUUUCCUCCAUUCCACUUUCCCACGGUUUCUUCCUAACCAAACACACUAUUUCUGAGCUUCAACACUUCUUUUUUCUCGACGCUUCAAUCGGGUUUAGAUAUGAGAAGUGCGAAAGUUGGUGCUUAUUGCCCUUCCCCUGCUCCCACAUUGGUGGUUCUCGUUGUACUAUUGGUGGGUUCAGUGCAGUUCGUACAGUGCCAUAACGUGGAUGACUACAACGAGUUUGAUAAUCCCGAGCUUCUUCCGUUGUUCACACAGCUUGGUUAUGGUCAGAUUUCCAAUAUGACUACAAUGUUGAGUGCGGAGUUUCAGAAGCGCUCCAAUUUCUGCGUUAAGGAUCCGUGAGUUCUCUGUUUGGUUUCUGAAAAAGAGAAAAAAAUUGUUUAUUCUGGAUUUUGAAUAAUUGAAGAGUGAACUGAGCUGGGGCAAUUGGUUUAAUUAAACUCAUUUUAAGUGUUUGAUUCUUAUCAAAUUUGGUUUGACUUUGAACUUGUAUUGCCUAUCAGGGAUGCUGAUUGGAACCAGGCUUUUAAUCUUUCAUUUAAUUUGGACUUAUUGGCUACUUGCAUCCAGAAAACUAAAGGUAUGAGUAGUUUUUACAAGUUACAUUUGAGCUUGUUUGGAUACCUAGAAAAUCCGAGUAAAAUUGGAAAAAAUGGCUUUCAUGGGGGAAAAAAAACAUCUGGAAUCAAUCAAUUCUAAUUAAACUAGUUGGUUACCUGAGUUGAGUUUCUCAUUCUUUUUUGAUUCUUUGGAAGGAAGACAAAAUGGAAUUUGAAACUCAAAUCUUAAUGGCUUUUCUUCACCAACUAAAAUGGAGGGUCACUAGAAAUACCCGUUGUGUUUCUUGGUCAGAAACUUCAUAUUUGAGUGCACUGUUAUAAUAUUGGGAAGAAUUAUAGGAGCAUUAUUAAUGUGAUUCGGCUACUGAGACUUCAUAGGAAGGUGGUUUGGACCGGGUUGGUGUGUAUUCCAGUUUUUUUUUUCUCACUUGUCCUGGUGAAUUCUUAGCAAUGAGACUAGGAUUUAAGCUCAAAAGGUUAUACUUAUCCAUUGUUUCUAACUCUUUUAACUUGUUAUAAUUGAUGAGGAAGAUGAUAGUUUCUUUCCGACCCAUUAUUGGAAAGUUUCUCUUUGAGGCACCAUCAUGCUCUUUCCUUGGCAUCUCUUUCUGUAAGGAUCUGUUUUGGCCCAAAGGGCAGUAAGCAAUAAAGAAGGAUCUUGUAAAAUAUCAGACAGAGAAAACCGAGUGCUAGCAUUUUAUGUUGCUUUUCUUUCAGUAGUAUUUUCUGCAACUAGUGGGUCAUUUUGAAUCAUAAGUUGCAUUCUCAUGUAGUACAAUGGUUUGAAUUUCCACAACAAGAGAUAUUACCCGAUAAUUGUGUACAUCUGCAGAAACAAAGUUCUACUUCAGUAAUUUCUUUGUGAAAUAAGAGAGUAGCAAUUAUUUGAGACCUAACAAGAACUGUAACUUGACUACAUGGGUUUCUGGCUGUGAGCCUGGAUGGGCUUUUAGAGUUGGUCAAAAUCAGCAGGUUAACGUUAAAAAUUCACAGAACAUUCCUACCAGAACUCAUGAUUUUCAAGCUUGUUGUGAGGGUUUCUUCUGCCCUCGUGGUAUAUUGUACCAAAAAUGAUUUAAUAUGACCAUAUAUAGCCAAUUAACAAGAAAAAAAAGAAAAAAAAAUUAUGCACUUAGUCUCUGCCUGCCCGUCUUGCCCUAUACUACUUCUAUUAAUGAUGUUAAUGUAAUUAAAAUUUCCAAAUAUGUUCCUGGGAAAGGUGGCAGUACAUUGUUGCUGUAGUAAUAAAGUCACCUUGCACCAUGUUGAAAUUUGUGCGGAAGUCCAUGACUAGUAGAAAAGAGGCUUACAGUACACAGAAAAGUUGUCAGGGUUAUGUGGAAGUUCUUCACUUUGUUUGUUUGUCAUUGUAUUUUUUUUUAUUUUUUUUUGCUGCAUUCAUGCUAUUGAGUCAACCGAAUUCACUCUUUUAUUUUUCUCCUGUUCUAUUUUUUUUUUCUUCUGUUGUUUUGCAUUCAUGCUAUUGAGUGGAUGAGAUUCAGGACUGGUUUUGAGAUAUUUUGUAAAACGUGUUUAUUUUAAUAUUUGACUUCUUGAUAAAGAAAUCUACCUUCUUUACCAUUUCUGUAUUCUUUAUCGGGCCUUAGUCAAUAGGAUCAAGGGGAUACUCUAGGAUAAAUUGCACCAACUCAUACACAACAGUUAAAUGUCUCUUAAAUGAACUUUUUUCUAUGUUUCUUUAAUGACAAAUCUUGUUAAUUUGGUGAAAUUCCUUUUGAAAAUUUUGUUGUCUUUUGGGUUUUAAAUUGCAGUAAUACAAGUUAGAAGUUGACUAUUUGUAUGCUCAGUUUAGCAUCACAAUAAAUUUUGUCAAAAUAGCCUGUAAUCUUAGUUUUUUUUUCUCUCUCUGGUUGUAAUGGUCCUUCCAGGUUCGUAUCGUUGCUGCUCAAGCUCUUACAACCCUGGCAAUCAGGUCUUGAGCCUUUUAGGCUACAAAUCUUUGAAUUCUUACAAGCUUUAGCACAGGGUGGUGCUAAGAUUUGAAUUGCAUUCUUGCUUUUGAAUUAUAAUUUGGAAAAUAGGAUAUAGUUAACCUAUUUUGUCCUGACUUCUUAAUUAUGAGAAUGCAGCUGCCUCAUGGGUCCUUAACUAGCUCUCUCUAAAAUCCCUCUGUAAUUGUCAAACAUGAAAAUUGAUAGGAUCUUAUACUUUGAAGCCCAAUAUAUAAAUAUAAAUGUUUAUGUUGUAGGCAAAUGCAAAAAAGGGAGGUGCAACCAAGUACAAAGUGUAAAAAGUGUGUCAAAGGCCAAAGAAACUAGAAAGACCAAGCAAUAGGCACUACAUUUCUUUGACCCCUAUGCAAACUAUCAAUGAAAUCUAAAAUGAGAACUAUUAACUAUUCUCCCCCAGUGAAUCCCAAAACCAUGCAAAGAGGAUUUAAUAAAAAUAUCUAUCUGCACCAACUCCAAAUGCCCUAAACCUUUAUAAUUACUUCAAUUCUUCUUUUUUCAUAUGCACUAAACCAAACAUAGAGGGUUUAACCUCAAAAUUCUAUUUUGAGUCUUGCCCACAAACUAUCUGGUCAACCCAAUGUCUCCCUAACAGAAUGGGGAAACACUCAUGAGAAUCCAAACAAAGAUUACAACGAAGUCUACAAACAAGGAGCCUUCCCAAAAUGGAUAACAAUAUAUUUAGUUGACUUCUCACUAUGCUUGCACAAGUAAUGUCAAUUUAUCUCCACCACCUAUGCUAAUAAACCAUGAUAAAUUUUUAUUGAAUAGCCCCCAGGCAAAAAAUCAACUUUAAAUAGAGCCCUUGAAAACACAUUCUUAGUUGGACAUGAUUGGGAUGCAAUGGGCUUAAUUAACUGCAGAACAAUUUAGAAACUAGAAUUUAGAAAGCGUUUCUAGUCUUUCUAAUACUUGAAAGAAAAUUUUUUUGUUAGUGUUAGAAAGGUUAGAAGUGCUUCCUAGAAUCAUUGCAAAUGGACUUUUAGUUCCUAGUCAUAAUCACUAAAACCUGAAACUAGAAUUUGGGGAAACUGAGAUUGGUAUAUACCUAAGUAAAGUAGUUCUAAUUGGCCAUUUCCAUGAUUGGAAGGUAUUCUAUUACCACCCACUCAUAAGAUGUUUAGUCCAGGUUAGGGUAUCUGACCAAUUAAAUGAAACAAAUGGUAUGAUUUUUGAAGUUAUUUGAUUCUUGUUCUUCUAAAUGUAUAGAAUAAAUUCAUGACCCCCAGGGGUCUACUAGGACUUCAAGCAAUUUUUACUGUUAUUGUGCCUCCUUUAAUUUUCAAUUGUGUUUUUCUUUUUCUUGGGGCAUUUCUUGUCUUUAGUUCUUUUGCCUUAACAAAAAUUUUGUUGCCUAUCAUAAUAAAUAAUGAAUAAAUAAAUAAAUUCAUGAUUAACACUCUUUUAUCUUAUUCUUAAUGUUUGUAAAUGUAAUAGACUUAGGAACCCAAGCCUUGUGUAUUUCCAAAUGAGAAUAGAGAUAAAUUUGUGACCGGCAGAAAAUUUAUUAGAAUGAUUCGAUAUGUUACUUUUAAUAUAUUUUUCUUUUUCCAAGCCUUUUUCUUUUUCUUUUUUUCGAUAGGUAAAUUUUUUUCCCCAUUGGGACUUGAACCUAUAACCACCCACAAACCCCCCAACCCUUGUACCACUUGAGCCAGGUCCAUUCAACAACAUAUAUUUUCUCACUAUCCUCCAAACUAGAAGAAAAAGGUGCAGCUAUCAUUAAUCCACAUUCAGAUGAAGGCAGAAGUAGAUGAACGCAGGGAGUAUAUGAACCCAUUCUUAAUUUGCAUGGUUAUGAAACAAUGUGGCAGCUAUGGCUUUAAGACAAGGACAUGGUUCCCCAGUGUCAGCAGACACAGGGGUAUCUGGCUGCAAAUUUCAGAGUAAUCAAAACCUGGGGGCAUGAAUGUGCACACAUACACAUACACAUACACAUACACAUACACAUACACGCACACACAAAUUAUAAAAUUUCCAUUUUUUACUUGUUAAUUUUAAAUAAAUCUUAAAAUUUAUUAAAAUGAUUCGAUAUGUUACUUUUAAUAUAUUUUGCUUCUCAAAAUGAUUCUGAAAGAGAGUGAUUCUUUUGAUUGUUUGUUAUGUUGUGGGAAUGAGAGUAAACCAUGAUUUGGAAUAUGUUAUUUGGACCAUAAAUAACUAGGCUAUUAGCAUUUUUUCUGUACCCUGCUUUGUCUAAUGCUGCAGUUUUAAUAGCAUGGAACUAUUGCUUACUCUUAUUAAGAAUAACUUUGAUUGUAUAUCUGAUUCUGGCAACAAGUUGACUUCGUGGUAGCUUCCUUUGAUUUGGACAAUAAGUAUCAUUUUAUUUAUUGGCAAGAAACCAUGAUUUUUCAUUUGGUUCUUAUUCAAUUUUUUUACUGUUGUUGCUUUGGUCAAUGUAAUUUUCUCUACAUGUAUAUUUUGUUUGUUUAAUGUGACAUUAUAACCUCAUUAUGUUAUUUUUUUUGCUUUUCUCGUGAAAUGAAAGCUGAUGUUUUGACUUAGCAGGUGAAUUUAGGUUAAAAGAUGAGUACUCUGGAUGCAACUCGAGCAGAACUUGCUCUUGUAAUUUUGUAUUUGAACAAACCUAAAGCUAGGGAGAAGAUAUGCAAGGCAAUACAAUAUGGUUUGAAAUUUUGGAGUGAUGGACAGCCUGGUACUGCCCAAAAUGUUGACAAAUCAACCAGCUUGGCACGAAAAGUUUUCCAUCUUUUUAAGGUUGGGUGAUAUCGUACAUUGUGGUGUAAAACUUUGAUCUAUAUAUAUGUGUGUAUACAUAUAUUACCCUUGUCUCCGGUUUAUGUUGGCUUCUCCAUUGUAUACAUGAGCAAAGGGGGCACCCUUACUGCAUUUAAAAAAAAAAUUCUGAUAUGGAACUUGCAUUAAAUCAUUAUUAUUCUAACGUUUUAUGUUUCAUCCUUCUAAUUGCAGUCUGUCAAUGACCUGCAUGCUCUUAUUAGUCCAGCUCCUCAAGGGACUCCUCUUCCACUUAUUUUGCUGGGAAAGGUAAAUUUUUGUUGAUUAAAUGUUUCUUUAACAAUACUUUAGUUCUUUUUGUCUUUUUAAACAUUGUGUUUGUUGCAGUCCAAAAAUGCGUUAUUAUCCACUUUCUUGUUUCUUGAUCAAAUCGUGUGGCUUGGUAGGUCAGGCAUCUAUAAGGUUCAUUUUGCACCUCGCUUAGCUAAUUUCAUACAUUCUUUAAAUUGGUUUGGUAUAGAGGAUAGGCUGGAAACUCGUGUACGUGGAUCAUGAGAAUGACGUGCUGCUAGUGGGGAUGAUCCUUGGGAGUAAGUUCUCUAUUUCCUUAGUUAAUGGAGCUCAAUUUUUUUCGUGUAUUUUAAUCUCUACAUGCUUGUAUACCUAUGGAUGCCAAACAAGACAAAUAAUUCCAGCAUAAGUUUUUGCAUUGCAAUGGCCCACCCUUAAAAUAUGGGAAAAAGACCUAUCUGUGCUUUCAUAAACCUUUAGGAAGCUCAUGAUUGAAAUGAUCAGCCUUCCCUAGAAGGAUAAAAAUAUGAGUGAGUUUCUUGCCCCACUUAUCAGCCUGGUAACUUGAAAUUGAUUCAUGGUCUGAAAAUUAUUGCUAAUUUCACUAUUCAAAAAAUGAUUAAAUAUGGUUAAUUUGUGCCGGCUUAUGUUGUCUGGUUUGGGGUAUUUCAGGGAGUUUGUGGACUGGGUACACUGCAUCAAGAUCCUUUAUCCUCAAGAAGUCCAGCAGAUGAGGUUGGAUGGAGAUAUUGGUAACAGUUUACUUCAGAAAGAAGUCUGUAACAGUGUACUUCUAGUUUCUCAUGGAUGAUUAGGGAAAGACAUGGACAUUCAUGUAAAGCUCAGCAUGUAUCAGUUUAUGGCAUUGUAUUAAUUUAUGUUUUAUACACUGAUUUUCAAGACCCAAGACCCUAUUUCCAUUGAGAAAUGAUAUUUAAUAUUUCAAACACCUGAAUGAGCAUUCGAGUAUUGAUUCCAUUGAGAAACGAUGGACAUUCAUCACUUUUCAUUUGCAGACCCCCUUAGUUUCGGUGGUUUGUAAGGACUCAGGACCACAAAGUGGAUUCCAUGUCACCAUUGCCUCACUUUUGUUAACAUUAGACAUCACAAAUGGGACCAUUAAUAUCUCAAGCCUCUUAUACAAAAUGGUACUAAUUUUUUUCUUCACGACUAACUUGACUUGUGUCUUUCACAUGGUAUGACGUUAAACAGAAACUGCUCAGGGUUCCAUCCCUUUUUAAAUUCCUGGGGCCUGGCCUGUGCACACGCACUCCGUCGUUGGAAUUCGAGUUAAUUCUUCGUGUAUAUUUAAUAUUUUUCUCAUUCACAUACGAGUAUUUAUUCAGCUUUAGGAUCCAUCAUCUCUGUCUUGUCUCCAACAUAUGAACACAGAAAUAAUUUUGUAUUUUUUUCUUUUCUUGUCUUCAAAUUGUGAAAAUAAAAAUAAAUAUAAUUUAAAUUAUUUUAACCUUUUUGUUUAAUUUCUAUAAAAUUAUGCCGUCAUUAAAAAAAACCUGAAGUUAGAAAUUAAAAAAGUUGUUUUUUCUUCUACAAAAAAAAAAAAAAAAGUCUUUCUUUGUAAUAAACCAAUAUGCCUAACAUAAAAAUAAGUGUUCAGUAAGUGUGAUGCUCUUCAGUCUUGACAAGUCAAUUUUUCCUUCUGCUGUAAAAUACAACCAUGAGAAAGCAAGCAAAUGGUCAGCUGAUUUUGUGGACUGUUUUAUUGAAUUUAUUGUUUUGUUUUUUUGCUUCGCUGUAUGUUGUCACUCACUUUGGUCUCUUCUAGAUGACUGCAAAUUUUCAACAAUUUCUAAUUUUCUACAUUAAUUUUCUGGCCUAAUACCAACCCCAGGUCAAAUGUUAGUGACUGAUUAAGGAAAAAAAGUCAAUUUUUUAGUAAAACAGUAAUGCAAUCGUGACGGGGAAAUUAAAAUUUAUUUUCAUUAAAAAGAGAAAUGAGUUUACAUCAACUUAAGUGCAAAUAAGCUAAUGAAAACCAUGGACCUUUCCACAAUAAGCACUUUCUCUGCCACCUUUCUCCUCAGUCCUUUGGGAAAAUACUAAUUACAACCUGGGUAUAACUUAUAAGAAGUGGAUGGUGAGAGACCUUAAUGUUGAUGGUAAAAUUCCCCUGCUGCAAUAGUAAUCACCAGCAACAGAA
rnacentral:lncRNA from 1 species